GGGAUGCAAUUUACAGUUCAUAUAUCAGCCAUAGGGUGGUUUAGCCAGAGCAGAGCUUUUCGAGAGCCAGGUUCUCAUCCCCAUCGACACUCUUAAGGGUACUUCUCACAAGAUCCUCUGGGAAGCCCAUCUCAACCAGCUUCUGCACCUGUACUCCGCACGAACAAAAAGGCUCAUCAACAUGUACAUGUCUUACAUACGCAAUGAAAUGAUGAGCAGUAUUGUCAGUACCUUCUCUUCCAUGCCAGUGGGCGCACUCUUUGCGAAGGCCUAUGUCCAGUAGCGAGCCGUAGCAGCGAAUGUUGGAUAAUCACACAGGUACUGCAGAAACAGAAUCAACACACAGAAAUUAAUGGGAGAAGGUCGGCAAUAGUAAUUCAGUUAAGAAUCUCACAAGUUCUUGUACAGCUUUAUGGGUCCGCACUGUUCCAUUCGUUCUUGCAGUGAAUUUUCAGAGCUUAUGCUUUACACUCUGCAUCACUGGACUAAUUCUUGCAGUACAAAUUCCAGAAGGAAGUUACUAAGCCCAUCCUGUAGGCUAUAUAAUGCCUCCUUUGGGACUGCCUAGUGGCCUAGUCUGUUAGCAAAGUAACAACCACAACAUCACUAGUACACUCCAACAAAGAACUUAGCUGUGUUGCUGGACAAAUAUAUCAAAGAGGUAUUUCCUUGGAAUUUGCUAUCCUUCAUUUCGGCUGAGGACAUGGUCAUACGUCAUAGUAAAAACGGUUUAUUAGAAACUUCUUACACCCAGCUUUACAUAAAGCGUUAUAUAUCCUUGUGGGCCAUACUAAAUGCAUACGAGCUUGCUGAAAACCAAAUAAAACAAAGCUACGCCCUAUCUUGCAGUCUAGCAUCUGCUUUAGCACUACAUGGAGAACAUACAGGACUAAUUGCACUAGUGGAAAAAUUCUAUAGCAGAAAAAUAAAACAUACAGGACUACCACAAACAUAUUCACCUGUGUAACAUUACAACUGUAAAAUUGCCAAGUGCGCUGCAGGCACAAGCUCAUGUGAUGGAUGCAACAAAGUUCACAUUGAAUCUCAUGCUUACUUUGCUGUGAAAAUGUAUGACGUUAUUCAACCAACAGCAUGACGAGGCAAUUAUGCAGCAGAAACAUAUUUUCUGGAUAAACAGUCAUUCUGACUCAUUUCUGGGAAUCCACCAUUGACAGGCUAUGGCAAUUUAACUCUCAACCAACUUUAGCUUAAAUCGCAAAAAUUAAAUAUAUAGUGCACUAAAAAUAGAACCACAACAGGAAACAACCAGUUCAGACCUGUUGUGCAACAACAGCAUCCUGAGGAUCAUCAGGUGCAGGAGAAGAAAGCAGAGCUUGAAGGGAAAGCAGUGCUGUCUUCAAAGUAAGGGCUGGGCUCCACUGAUCUUUCAGAAUGUCCAAGCAAAUUGCCCCAUUUUGGCUACUGAUGUUAGGGUGCCUUCAAGAUAGAUUGGAGGAUAAGUCAGAGCUGUACUGAAAAAAAAAACUAAGCGAGGGCAGCAGAACUUAGGAGCACAAGGGGAGACAUGUAACAAAAUGGCAAGAUAAUAAUCUGCAAUUCCAGGCGCGCGAGGGCGAGGCCGACGAGUGGAGGGGGGAUCCGAUGGAAGGAAGGCGCGAGGUGGGGGAAGGGAUCGGAAGAGGAGGGGCGGCUCACCGGGGAGGCGGAUGUCGAUGGUGAAGGUGCCGCCCUCGUAGGGGCUAUCGGCGGGGCCGGCGAUGGUGCCGGUGAGGUGGGAGAUGUUGGCGCCGUCGUGCAGCGUGAUGAAGACGCCCGAGACCUCCCGGUCGCGGUUGCACUCGGUGAGCUCCUCCUGCACUGACAGGCAAGGCCAUUUCACCCAGACCUGAAAGUCUACGCAGUCAUAUUCCAGUCUCACUGACUCACUCAGCCAGCCCUGAGAGUGUGCCUUCACCCAGGGCAUGGCAUCAGCAUUGACUACCCUACCCAGCGGCAUGUGUGCCUUCACCAGCUGCGCUAGGUUGCUUAAGCAGCUAAUCCGGCGAUCGCUUAAGAAGCAGAGCGAGUUUAUGGACGUUAAUUGCAGCGGCAUGCUUGGUCUCUGUCAGUUAGAGAAAGCAAGCCCAAAAGUGAGCUACUGUGCUCUAGUGGUCUGAGACUAGUGUCGGAAGGGACGGACGGCACCUACCCUAACCGUAACCGUUCAGGUAGCGCAACUGUUUGGAGCUUGAUGGACGGUUAACCAUGCGCCAUGCAUGUAAAUCACGUAAAACCUUUAAUAAAAAAGAAUCACGUAACACGCAGCAGAGGAGACAAAGCACGCUAGAUGCUACCACAGUACUGCCCCUGUAAACUGAAAACUCAAGAACACGAGCAGCUUGUAAUUUCAGUUGUCUGAUCAACGUGGGGAAUCAAGAAGGAACUCGUGAUCAACGUUGUGGGUGACACCACCGUGCACUGCGAAUUUGCAGACGAUCAGAGAUAUUCCCAUUCCCUUUGACGGUUUUUUAUGGGUCAACAACUCUCUGAAAGAAGAAAAAAAAUUACGUGUGAAGCUUUGACUGUAAAGUGAAGUCGCCAUACAGGACCGGGACUCGGGACUCCGGCCUAACCACCAUGCAACUGGUUGGUUCCAAGCCCAUAACACCGGUGGCAACCGGCGAUGGCACCGGCCGGUCACCUCAGCACCACCCCCAAAAGUCUCGCCAGGACACCAACCCCUGGCUGAAAUCGUGAUCGAUCAGCGUGGGAUGGCUGCCAGAUGUGAAGGACAAGAACAGAGUGUGCAACUGCAAAGUCAACUUCUCCAUCUCACUGAAUGCGCAAAGAUGCCUCGUGUUUGGGAUAAUAUCCAACAUGGAGCUAAUGUGCUUGGCGAGGUGAUCCUUAACACUAUCUGGUGCAGUUCCAUACAUGUUUAUGAGAGAGAUGGUGAACUUAAACAUAGCGGUGAUGCUCUUCUCAUCUACGAUACUAUCAUCCUUUAUCUCGCUGUGAAAAAGACGGUACGGAUGUAAAAGAAAGCCACCAUCAUCAGACUGAAAAAUACUACCAGCAAGAGAAAGGACUUACCAACGCUGCAACGCAGAGGCUAGAGCAUGUACAGGAAAUCCUAUCACACCCCAGUUAGAAGGUGGAGCAUUGAUUGCUCGAUGAUUCUUGGAGUAGCUCUCCAGAUAACCAGCAAAAGAGCUAAACAUUUUCUUCACAGCAAGCUCCUUUAUACCUCCAGAUAAUGAACCGAAAGGGAAACCUUCCAUCAGUAAUGCUAAGUGUAAGAUCGAGGACUUGGAAGAGUUUUCAUCAUUCAGCGCACAUGUAUAUACUCGAUCAACAGUUGCCGAAGAUGCAUAGCUCAAGAUUAUGCACAAUGAACGUGCAACCUUCCGCAAAGUACUGAGAGGCACAAGAACUUCCUCUGGUGAUGCCAAAAAUUUUAACAGGAGGAAUAGUUGACUAACUAUAUUAAUUGAAGUCUCAGUUUCAGCGUAACGCAUGAAGAAACACCAUAGUUCUGUAAUAAUUUCCAAGCAAAGGAAAUGGGGAUGGAAAAGGUUUUCAAGUAAGAAAGCUUCCAGCUCAUUCCAAGCUGCACUCGAGGCAACAGCAGAAAUCAUAAAAGUCUUCAAGGGUUGCAUGAGAGAAGCAUACACAGGUUGCCAAACUACUGCGGGAGAAUGGUCUGCACCAUAUAAGGCAGGGAUUUCAAAGCCAAGGACAUAUGAGUAGAUGUCUUCUGAAGUUAAGAUAUUAAGAAGAGUUUGUAGCUUUUUAGAUAAUUCAAUUACCACCACUUCUGUCAACCACGAGGAAGCAGAAGGUGUAAAAACACAACUAACUCAGCAGGUAAAAGUGCUCUAUUUCUAUGAUCAACAUCUGAAUCCGUAGAGAAAAUGCAAUCCAAUGAAGCCAAAUUUAUCUCUAUCUGAUUAGCUUGUCUCAUGUGAUCUGAACUAUUAGCUUCUUCGUUUUCAAAAAAAUAACGUGCAAGCUGACAUUUGGAAUCUGGUGUUACUUCAGAUGACUUCAUAAGUGUAUCUAGUAAAACAAAUAAAGUUGGCUCCAACAACUCAACAAGUGCCUCAUUUGCUGCUUUCAAUUGUGGCUUCUUGCUGAGUAAAAUGCUUGCGGAUGUGAUCACUAGUGCACACCUGAUUAUAUUCUUGUGUAUAAUCAUCGAUUCAGAUGGAUAUGCUGAACAAAUCCUUACAGCAUUUAUCAAGAAAACUUGAUUGGUAGGAAUGCCCUUCUGGCUUCAGAGGUACCAAUGGCUUCUGGUAACGGCAUGCACCAUGUUUCGGCAGCAACUCUCAGAGAUUUUAUGGACAGAGAGAGAAGGGUUAGGAUGAUUUCUCUGACAUUUAUUUUUUCUUCAAUCAUUCCUUUACCACUUUGCAGUAAGGAGACUACACCCUUCCAUGAUACAUUCAGCAAAGUCACCUGGCUUCCACCACUGGAUGCUGCAUAGGUUCCCAAUUUACACAAAGUCUGAAUAGUGGAUAAUGUAAUCCUGGUCACAUCACUAGCAAGACCUUGUUCGAUGUGUUUCACAGUAGUAUCUUCAUCAGGUAUGCUCGUUUUGCAGUUAUCUGCUUUUGCAGCCUCAGAGUAUGCCCAGCACAGCUUGGUUGUUUCAUCUAGAAAAACAGGUGCAGCCCUAGCGAUAUCUGGCGCAGCUCCAUGAAUUUUCUGUGACCAUAUAUCCGUCAGAGAUAUACCUAAAGAUUUAGCCUGAGAUAGGAGUGCUUGGAAAACAGCUAUUCAUGUGCCUGAACCUUAAUUUGUAGCUCUUGUUGGGUUUCAACUCUAGCCUACCCCAACUUGCUUGGGACUGAAAGGCUAUUGUUGUUGUUGUUGUAUAUAUCCGUCAGAGAGAUUAUACAAUGACAUCAUUUCUGCAACAUUAACACAGCAAGAGUUUGAAAAGAACACCCACUAUCUCAUAUUCAUAUGAUCAGAGUAUGCUGAUAAGAUGUAUCAAGACUAAGGAUCAGGAAGUUCAUUUUAAUGAUGAAUUUCCAAUAUUUCAUGUAAUAUCCCAUUUGAAAUUGCUAAAAGAUAUGUAAGUAAUUUGAAUAUGGGCAUCAUAUGAAUGGUAACAAAUUUAACUCGAAUAAGCAGCGCGCUACUUUUAGGAAAGGGGAGAAUAUCUAUGAAAAGGUAACACAUAUAAUAACCUAAUAUAAUACAAGAUUAGGUAAAGUGUGGCUGAAAUCAUACACAUAUAUGCCAAUACUUCUGCUAAAGAACUGAUAGCAAAAGAGUUUAAAAGAAUCUUUCUCAGUAAAUUGAUCUUUGACUUAUACAGGAUAUAUUGCCAGUUUGCCACUGGCUUUGCCAUUUCAACAAGUUAAUUCUACCACAGUACAAGAUAAAAGUUUACCUUGUUGUCAACUAUUGAGCUUUCCGUCAGACUUAGCAACUCUGAAAUAAAUUCACCGGUAGUGUGCACCAUAUCUACAGUAAUGCAUUUUGCCGCGGAAGGAAGGAGCUUGAUCGAGAUAUUUAAGGUCAUUGAAAUUAUCUGGAGUCCAGAAGUUGAGUUUCUAUUAGAUUUCUCAUGAGAAGGAUACCGGAAAUGGAAAAGGAUGCAGUCGCACUCCAGAUGUAGUAACAUGAAGUAUAAAAACAAAAUGGACAAGUUAGUGAAGAGAUGUGCCAAUUUAUAAUACUACUAUACAGUUAGCUUCAAUUUUCGCUGAUAGACACUUAUUUUGCCUUACAAAGAUUCUGUCCACAAGUUAUGUGUAACUAAAUUCAUGUCAUAAUGCAACUUUCUGUCAAUAAGUUAUGUGAUAUGUACUGUAUAACCAACAAUGAUAGCUACAAAGAAACUUGGCAUGUGCUAACUGAAAGGUUCUACCAUCCACUGUCUUUAUAGUGAUUUCUUCUGGAACUCUGGAGAUAAAGUGGAAUCACAAAUAAUACACGAGUAUUGGUAUGAGAUUUCAGUUUAUAUCAUAAACAUGUAUGGAUCUAUGGUCUGCUUUAGGCUACAAGCUUACAGAAGCAGGGCAGAGGAAAGGGGUAGCAGAUGAUACAUCAAUAUAUAUUGUUAUAAUCCAUCCAAAUUAACACAAACAAUUUAAGCAAUGUCAAAGGCACAGUUCCAUAUUUCAAAUGACCUCUGGGAGAAUUCUGGAGUGUUCUUCCUCUUGGACCUCUUCAGAUUCCUCAAUAGAUUCAACAGACCACAGGAGAUGCUUUCCGCACCAUGAGCUGGCCUAGUAUAGAUAUACGAGCAAUUAAAUUUGGUUUCAGUGGUUGGGCAAGCUUGCAGAUAGCCACUACAGUUGGCAAACACCUCCCAUGGUCCCUAACAAACUCCACUUAAAAAUGUAAGAAUUACCUUUGCAAUAAGAGCAAGAAAUUGCCCCAGACAAUCAGUCAUAUCUAUACAUGAGCAUUUCAGAGCAACCUGCAAAAUUGACUUGUGUAGCACGCAGUGCGAUACACCUGAACAUCCAGAAUCAUCCCAAGAUACCUAAAAUGCUGUGAAGGUAAUACACCGAAACACAGUAAGAGCAAAUAUUCAGAGCAUCAACUAGGACUAUCUGAAUCAGCAGCAGCUUCUAGGUGGUGAGACUUGCCAUCCAAUCUCUAUUUGCAAAUAGUAAAGGCUAAAGAAUUAAAUGAAAUAAUAAUGAAGGGGGGGAGGGGGGGGGGGGUUCUUUUUUUUUUUUUUUUUUUUUUUUUUUUUUUUUUUUUGUUUUUUUUUUUUGUUUUUUUUUUUUGUUUUUUUGUUUUUUUUUGUUUUGGUUUUUUUGUUUUUUGUUGUUUUUUUUUUUUUUUGUGUUGUUGUUUUUUGUGUUUUUUUGUUUUUUUUUGUGGUUUGGUUUUUUUAUUGUUUUUUUUUUUUUUNNNNNNNNNNNNNNNNNNNNNNNNNNNNNNNNNNNNNNNNNNNNNNNNNNNNNNNNNNNNNNNNNNNNNNNNNNNNNNNNNNNNNNNNNNNNNNNNNNNNNNNNNNNNNNNNNNNNNNNNNNNNNNNNNNNNNNNNNNNNNNNNNNNNNNNNNNNNNNNNNNNNNNNNNNNNNNNNNNNNNNNNNNNNNNNNNNNNNNNNNNNNNNNNNNNNNNNNNNNNNNNNNNNNNNNNNNNNNNNNNNNNNNNNNNNNNNNNNNNNNNNNNNNNNNNNNNNNNNNNNNNNNNNNNNNNNNNNNNNNNNNNNNNNNNNNNNNNNNNNNNNNNNNNNNNNNNNNNNNNNNNNNNNNNNNNNNNNNNNNNNNNNNNNNNNNNNNNNNNNNNNNNNNNNNNNNNNNNNNNNNNNNNNNNNNNNNNNNNNNNNNNNNNNNNNNNNNNNNNNNNNNNNNNNNNNNNNNNNNNNNNNNNNNNNNNNNNNNNNNNNNNNNNNNNNNNNNNNNNNNNNNNNNNNNNNNNNNNNNNNNNNNNNNNNNNNNNNNNNNNNNNNNNNNNNNNNNNNNNNNNNNNNNNNNNNNNNNNNNNNNNNNNNNNNNNNNNNNNNNNNNNNNNNNNNNNNNNNNNNNNNNNNNNNNNNNNNNNNNNNNNNNNNNNNNNNNNNNNNNNNNNNNNNNNNNNNNNNNNNNNNNNNNNNNNNNNNNNNNNNNNNNNNNNNNNNNNNNNNNNNNNNNNNNNNNNNNNNNNNNNNNNNNNNNNNNNNNNNNNNNNNNNNNNNNNNNNNNNNNNNNNNNNNNNNNNNNNNNNNNNNNNNNNNNNNNNNNNNNNNNNNNNNNNNNNNNNNNNNNNNNNNNNNNNNNNNNNNNNNNNNNNNNNNNNNNNNNNNNNNNNNNNNNNNNNNNNNNNNNNNNNNNNNNNNNNNNNNNNNNNNNNNNNNNNNNNNNNNNNNNNNNNNNNNNNNNNNNNNNNNNNNNNNNNNNNNNNNNNNNNNNNNNNNNNNNNNNNNNNNNNNNNNNNNNNNNNNNNNNNNNNNNNNNNNNNNNNNNNNNNNNNNNNNNNNNNNNNNNNNNNNNNNNNNNNNNNNNNNNNNNNNNNNNNNNNNNNNNNNNNNNNNNNNNNNNNNNNNNNNNNNNNNNNNNNNNNNNNNNNNNNNNNNNNNNNNNNNNNNNNNNNNNNNNNNNNNNNNNNNNNNNNNNNNNNNNNNNNNNNNNNNNNNNNNNNNNNNNNNNNNNNNNNNNNNNNNNNNNNNNNNNNNNNNNNNNNNNNNNNNNNNNNNNNNNNNNNNNNNNNNNNNNNNNNNNNNNNNNNNNNNNNNNNNNNNNNNNNNNNNNNNNNNNNNNNNNNNNNNNNNNNNNNNNNNNNNNNNNNNNNNNNNNNNNNNNNNNNNNNNNNNNNNNNNNNNNNNNNNNNNNNNNNNNNNNNNNNNNNNNNNNNNNNNNNNNNNNNNNNNNNNNNNNNNNNNNNNNNNNNNNNNNNNNNNNNNNNNNNNNNNNNNNNNNNNNNNNNNNNNNNNNNNNNNNNNNNNNNNNNNNNNNNNNNNNNNNNNNNNNNNNNNNNNNNNNNNNNNNNNNNNNNNNNNNNNNNNNNNNNNNNNNNNNNNNNNNNNNNNNNNNNNNNNNNNNNNNNNNNNNNNNNNNNNNNNNNNNNNNNNNNNNNNNNNNNNNNNNNNNNNNNNNNNNNNNNNNNNNNNNNNNNNNNNNNNNNNNNNNNNNNNNNNNNNNNNNNNNNNNNNNNNNNNNNNNNNNNNNNNNNNNNNNNNNNNNNNNNNNNNNNNNNNNNNNNNNNNNNNNNNNNNNNNNNNNNNNNNNNNNNNNNNNNNNNNNNNNNNNNNNNNNNNNNNNNNNNNNNNNNNNNNNNNNNNNNNNNNNNNNNNNNNNNNNNNNNNNNNNNNNNNNNNNNNNNNNNNNNNNNNNNNNNNNNNNNNNNNNNNNNUUUCACGGCCCAUACAAGAGCACAGUGCCCAAGUCGAAAAUUGAUACUCAUUCUCUUCUUCCAAUGCAUCUAUGGUAACAAGUACUUUGCUCCUGUCUAUCUAGCUAAUUGUACACGAAUAUGCUCCUACUCUAAUCAUAUAUAAGGUCUAGAAGCAUUCUUGAUCGAGUUAAGGUAAUAUCUAUCUUAUCAUAUCCUUCGAAGCUUUUUAACUACUUCCUCUAGGGAAGCUAUUAUGUUGAACAUGUUCGCAGGUUAUAAUGAAAGCAUUUAGCUCAAAGAAGAGAAAGUCAAGUAGGUCAGGCGAACUUCAAGACUGAAACCGCAAGCUCUUGGUGUGGGGGGGGGGGGGGGGCAGGGCAAAGAUACAGUAAGGCUGUCAAGUAUCAGGCUCAGAUCAUCUGGAGAAUACUCAAAGGAACUCUCGAGUUGGUUGAUAAGGGCAAUUCUAUUCUCCAGCACCUGUUAAAAAUCGAUAUGAAGUUAGCAUGCUGCAAUUGACUUCAUUGCACGAAUGUCAUAUUAAGCCGCUUACUAACAUGUAAUCGCUGUUUCAGAAGAAAAAUGCAAUGUCUGAACUCUGAAAGCAAAUGGAAAUGAACAGAACAAUUAAUUGCUAACUAGCAUCACAACAACCAGACAUGAGACCUCCAAUACAAAUGGGGAGCUUACCAAUGAGCUCGGCAAACACUACUCCCAUCCACCCACACAAAACGCGUCUGCUAGUGUCUAUUGAUUGGCAAUCAAAUUAAUUCCAAGUUUCACGAGCGCGUACCCAAUCAGUGCACCGCUGCGAAUUCAUGGCGGCCUGGACCAAAUCAAACCCUAGGGGGAGGGGAACGGGCGAAGCGGAACCGCGAAACCGGCGCCUCGACGAGAAGCGAGGGAGAUGAUGGCGUACCUCGGAGGAUUUAACCGCCCCUAGGAGGGACUCCAGGUCGCCACACCUCCCCUCCGGCACGCCGCCGUCGACCUCCAUUGCUUGCUCGGUUGCUCCCUCGCUCGGCGCGUGGCUGGUUUUGCCGUUUCCCGCCUCUUCCGUUAGGCGCCCGCGCUCCCACUAAUUGGACUGAGGAAGUAUUUCUCGGGUAGGUGGAGGGUACGCUAAUUAAAAGAAUUAAAUAUAAAUUAAUUGUGAAAUUAAUUGAACGUGACUAACGAGAAGAAUCUAUUAAAUCUAAUUAAUUCAUCAUUAGCUCAUGUACUGUACCACUGCACUAUCAAAUAAUGAACUAAUUAAAUUUAAUAAAUUUAUCUUGUAAUUAAUCUUCAUCUGUGCAAUUAUAUCUCGUAAAUUAAUCAAAAUAUUUAAUGUGAUAGGAAUUAAAGGUGGAACUAAAUAUUCAAUGUAACUUUAGAUGGCUCGGCUAUUUACUUCAACAAAAGUUUGGGCUUAGCAGCGUUGCGGUGGCGCGGGCGGCGGACGUCGGCUAAUGGGCCUUACAAUCUAUUAGUCCGUUCGGCCCAGUCCUAAAGAAGUCUUCAGCUUUGAACGUCUCGUGCUCAAAGCUCAACGACUCAACGUCCUGCUUGGUGGCCAGCAAGUUGCUAGCAGAAAUAUGCAUUAUGCAAUGGUGAUAGCACUCUACGAGAUCGACGCUUUGUUUACGAAAGCCAUUGUCAGAAAGCUAUGCGAACUUUGUGGAGAGGAGGAACGUGUGUAGGCCUAGCUACACAUACAAAUGUACGCUCUCCUAAUUAGCCACUGUGAAUUAGCAUUGUUAUAGCAGUAUACUAUACAACUAUAGGAUCCCUAUAGUAGCAGUACUAUUAACAUAUUUGUUAUUUGCUAAGGCCUUGUUUACUUUCCAAUUUGGGAGUGGCAAAAUUGGUACUUUGCCAUAAAUGCGCAACUGUAGCGUUUCGUUUGUAUUUGUGAAUUAUUGUCCAAAUAUUGACUAAUUAGGCUCAAAAGAUUCAUCUCGCAAAGUACAACAAAACUGUGCAAUUAGUUUUUAAUUUCGUCUACAUUUAGUACUCCAUGCAUGUACCGCAAGUUUGAUGUGAUGGGGAAUCUUCUUUUUGCAUAGUGUCAAAGUUGGGAGUUGGGAGGAAACUAAACAUGGCCUAAGCUUUUCUUCAACUUUUGUAACAGUAUUUUUUACGUCCAAGUGUACAGCAGCACAUGGCAAGGGCUGCCAUGUAUAGUAAACUUUAAGAGCCUGCAAGUAGAUCUCUGCUCAUGACAUGGUCGGCGCCAUUGACGAUCAAUUAUCAAACGAAUUACCCAAACAAUCGGACGGUUAAUAAUCCUUAAAUAAUGUUGAAAGCUGACUGCAUUUGUACAGCGGGCCUCUGCAGUCUGCACAAGGAAAGCUGACUGAUCUGCAUCGGUAUUCCCGUUGAAUUCCAGAAACUUCAGAGCACGGGUGUAGGCCAUUCAUAGGGUGUGUAGUUCGCCACUCGUCUGCAUUUGUACAGACCGCAUCCUUCGUCUUCCUCAGUUCCUCAUCUCAAAUUGAUCAUCUUGUCCAGAGUCCGUUGCUACAGUAUACCGUGCAUGAUUCUAGCUACACUUUCAGCAUGCAACUAAGCGUGGCUAACUCCAUCAUACAACUGGAGAGAGACAUCUCAAUUCGCAUCCUGUGAUCUUGCCUGAGCCUUCUUCCUUUUCGAAUUGGUCAUACCAUGCUUGAAAUGCACUUCAUCAGCACAAGUUGUUUCUCUUUGCCCUUUCCCCGGAUUGAACUUACGCCAUAGCCUUUUCUGAUGCUGACAAUGCUGUUCGUGCUUCUUGAUUCGGCAGCUGUCCAAAUCUGCAGCGAAAGGCGGUGGUGCUCGGUCGCGCCGGGCAGUCGGCGGAGCGAAGGGAGUGGACAAGGCCGCGGCGAACGCGCUGCCGCCUCUGCGGCUCCUCGCCACCCUCGCCGUGAUAGUUUGGACCCUGUUCCUCUACUUGCAAUUCUCCGUGCUCAGCGCCGCGGUGGAGGUGGUGGAGGUGAGCCAUGGUGCUGACAGCGCCGACCCGUGCCGGGGCCGGUACGUCUACGUGCACGACCUGCCGCCGCGCUUCAACGCCGACAUCAUCCGCGACUGCCGCAAGACCGAGGACCACUGGGGCGACAUGUGCGGGUUCAUCAGCAACGCCGGCCUCGGCCGGCCGCUCGCCGACCGCGCCGACGGCGUCAUCACCGGCGAGGCCGGGUGGUACGGCACGCACCAGUUCCCGCUCGACUUCAUCUUCCACAACCGGAUGAAGCAGUACGAGUGCCUCACCAACCACUCCGCCGUGGCCAGCGCCGUGGUCGUCCCGUUAUACGCCGGCUUCGACCUCGCCCGCUACCACUGGGGCUACGACAACGCCACCAGGGACGCCGCGUCCGUGGACCUGGCGGAGUGGCUCAUGGCGCGUCCCCAGUGGCGGCGCAUGGGUGGGCGCGACCACUUCCUCGUCGCCGGCCGGACGGGCUGGGACUUCCGGAGGAGCAACAACGUCGACCCGGACUGGGGCAACGACCUCCUCGCCAUGCCGGCCGGCCGGAACAUGUCGGUGCUCGUGCUCGAGUCCACGUUCCUGCACAGCAGCGACUACUCCGUGCCGUACCCGACCUACUUCCACCCCAGGUCCGACGCCGACGUGCUCCGGUGGCAGGACAGGGUGCGCGGCCAGCGGCGGGAGUGGCUCAUGGCGUUCGUCGGCGCGCCGCGGCCGGACGUUCGAAUGGACAUCCGGAUCCGGGAUCAGGUCAUCGCGCAGUGCAAGGCGUCCAGCGCGUGCGCCCUGCUGGCGUGCGCGCGCGCCCCCGGCAGCCCCCAGUGCCACGCCCCCGGCGACAUCAUGCGGCUUUUCCAGAAGGCAAGCUUCUGCCUGCAGCCGCCUAGGGACUCGUGCACGCGGCGGGUCGGCGUUCGACUCCAUGGUGGCCGGGUGCAUCCCGGUGUUCUUCCACACGGCGUCGGCGUACAGGCAGUACCGGUGGCACCUCCCAAGGACCACCUUCAACUACUCCGUGUACAUCCCNNNNNNNNNNNNNNNNNNNNNNNNNNNNNNNNNNNNNNNNNNNNNNNNNNNNNNNNNNNNNNNNNNNNNNNNNNNNNNNNNNNNNNNNNNNNNNNNNNNNUCAGCGCCAUAAGCUUUGACGCUGGUUGCACAUGUGGCCGUGACCUGGCAGCUCGGCGCUACAGGUCUCGGCGCCGAGCUCCCCAACCAACAAAACUAGCCGUUGCCACUUUCUGCGUAUCACCGACUCAUUCGGUGGUGCGCAAGGGUGGUCACCAUAUCAAUUGGUGGAUGCCACCUCAGCUAGUCGUUGGGCCAUCCACGCCCACUAACGUCUCGGCCCAAAUCACCUAGGUGGUGGUCAAGACAAGCCACCGAACUAGUAAGUGACUUGCCUGGACCCAAGUUCAUCAAUCCAAUAAGAGGUAGAAUUGAACCUCUCACGGGUACCGAAGAACCUUUCGCAUACAAUAGCUACUAAGUAUUUGAGGAUGAGAAAGUACUAACACCAGCAUCAGAUAUCUUUAUAUUUCUUAUACAUUGAAAGCUUGAAUUUAAACAUAAGGUAGCAAGGAAAUACAAUGUAUCAAUACGAGCAUGCCAUAAUUAUUUAAAGAGACUGAUCAAUGGCUAGACAAAUAGCAGCAUCUUUUAUUCUUCCUUAUGCUGACAAACUCGAACCCUUUCAGAUAGAAGGGCAUUUGAGUAAUAACAGGAUUACCUCAUGAAAAAGCUCCAUCUAACAUGCCAGCUUCAAGUUGUUACCUUUUCAUAAAACAUGCCCUAGUACAAACCUCUAGAGGAGGAUGAAAAGAAAGGGUAAAGAGUGGCCCUGAAAACUGAUGGUCUCAAUUGUCUCCCACUAUAUUUAGGAACUGUUCAGCUGAUGCAGGAGAUUAGGUGGUCUGCUCAGGUGGGCAAUCAAUGGCAACGGGCCGACAGCAACAAAAAUGCAGUUCAAUUUGACUGCACAUAACCAAACAAGAAAAAAAGGUGCUUUGUGCAAAAAUAUAAGAUUCAAAGUGAGGAAGAAUUGAAGCUUUUACAAACAUAUAGUUAUAUUUCAAACUAGCACAUGUUUCCCAGAAAAACAAUAACAUUGAUACAGAUAAGGAUUGCAGAAUCAAUCACUCGGUACUUUCUCAUCCUCAAAUACUUAAUAGCUAUUAGCAAGUUACCGACUGAUUCGGUGGCUUGUCUUGACCACCGACCACCGAAUCAGCCGGUGACUUGGGCCCAGGCGUCAGUGGGCGUUGAUGACCCAACGGCUAGCUAAGGUGACACCCACAGAUUGAUACGGUGACCACCCUUGCGCACCACCGAAUGAGUCGAUGAUAUUCCAGAAAGUGGCAACUGCUAGUUUCCUUGGUUGGGGAGCUGUGGCACCGAGCUCGGCGCGAAGAUCCCUGGCCUCGAGCUGCCAGGUCACAGCCAUGUGUGCAGCCCCGCAGACGUAGGCCUGCGACCUCAGCGUCAAAGCUUAUGGUGUCGAGACAUGUUAGCUUGGACGUCGAGAUCAGGGUUUAUUUUUUGAAAUCUUUCUUCCGGAAGCGUAUUUGCGAAAAACUUUAAAAAAAGGCCAAAAAAAAAAUAAAAAAGUCGCCACCGCUGCGAUGGCCGUCUAGCCGGAGCUGCCGCAGCCUCGCGGUCGGGCGUCACGCGUCGGACAGGAGCCGUCAACGCUGCGCAGGUGGGCGGAGCCGCAAAGCGCUGCUCGCCUCGCAGCUCGCACAGCGACACCGUUUCAGCGUGUGGUCAGGAACAUGAACGAGGGGUCCCACAAAUAUCCCAAUCCUAAAAUCAAAAUUCCCAAACAAGGGAUAAGGAUAGCAGGUCUGAUAACUCUCUGUCCCAAUCCCUAUCCCAAUCCUACCUCCGCAUGACCCAUCUCAUUUCCUUUUCCCAUUCCAACCUAACUUCCAAACGUCACCUCAAGACGUGCAAAUCCGGUUUUCCACUCUAAAGACGCAAUUCCGCUCUCAAGAAAUAUGUGCAAAUCCGAUUUGGAAAAUGAUCAUUCAACACUAACAUAAACUCCAUAACAAUUAUUACACCAGAAUGAACUGCAUAACAAAAUUCAUAAAAUAAAACGACGUACAAAUUCUGAUGACCAAACAGGUAACAGUCAAGUUGCUGACACAGUCCACAAAUCUCAUGGAUUCAAGUUCAAGCUGUCUCCGCAUUCCAGUUGACUUCGAUGUUUCCAGUUGACUGAUUAACUCAAAAUACCCAACAGGUGGUGACUCCCUCAAACCUGUAAAUAUGCGACCUCUGCUUCAACAUCACAAGUCCCUUGUGGUCUGUGGUUGGCUUCAGCACCAAUCCAGUAAACACAACGAACCUCUCGAUUACAGGUAUGCAGACUUGAUUGUUCUCAACGUUGACUACCCUUUCAAAAAACUUGGCAACGCAGAACUUGUUAGAGCCCAGAUAGACAAGGUGUGACUUGAGAGGAUCCCAACAACACGGCGGGUUCAGAUCUUCCCAAACCAUGUCCAGCGUUGGUGCACCCUGCGCAGGGGCAGUGAUAUCCGAUGAAGAGCAGAGUAGGUUGUCUUGAGAUGAGAAGCCAAGCCACACACCGUGUUCCGGGAAGAAGUCAGCACGGUCACGGAAGGGCAGCUCCCAGUCACCAGCCUUCCUCCACGAGCAGCUUGAUGUGUCAAAGGAGUAGGUGCCAAUGCCCGGUGUGGAUAUCAAGAUGUUGGAGCCACCGGCAACCGUGUAAGCCCCAAUAAUAAAUCUUCCUUUAUAGCCAGUCUCAAGCACGAAAGGUAGUGGCUGAAGGCAGUGCCAGGUGCUGUUUGGCUUGAACAAAACAUCAUUUGGAAGAUCAACAAUCAGUGCCUCGAAGCUGCGUUGGUUGCUUGGAACUGGCUCUCUGUCCAUAACAUAGAGGGCAUCACCGACGGCAAGGGAGACGGGAUCGCAGCACUUAUACUCAUUAGGAGAGGCGAUCUCAUGCAUGGUACGGCGCUCGACGUCAUACAUGUAGGAAACUCCGUCGAAGUCAACGGCAGCCAAAUAGCUCUUCUUCCGGCCAUGACCAAAGAAGCCGAAGAAUUCCAGCCUUCCUCUGUCCUGUGAAGGGGUGAACGAAAGGUGAGGGCGAGGAAGCGGAGUUUCCUCAAUUGUAAGAGCCUCAUUCACUCGAUUCACUUGAUUUCUUGCGAAGAACAAAUUUGAUGCGUUUAUACGGCGCAGAGGAUACGUUCCGUUCAAAUCGUCCACCAGAAGAUACAAGUACCGCCUCCACCUGUUCAUCUUCGACAAGUGGAUAUUCAAAUCUCUUCUAUGCCGCCUGUAGAAUUGAUACAUAGAAUCACUGAAUAUGAAUAUGAAAGCGUCUUAUCCAGGUCGAUUCUAAACAAUAACUAAUUUUGCCACCAACGCGCUGCACAGUACAUACAUAAAAAUAGGGCAACCCCGAUGGGUGGGGUGCGGUGGAGGUGGGACAGGCGGCGCCGUCCGCCAGGGUCGGCAGCGGGGAGCAGAGCACAGAGGUGGUGACGGGCAGCCGGCGGCUAGGUUAGGAGAGGAAUCUAGGGUUCUACCACGUGGUCCAUUAAAUAUUGCGGUCAAUCUUGACCGUGCGCCGAGCAGAAAAUGGGCUGGGCCGCGUUGCUCUCCAGCGGCUGCUGAUCAGAGCAGGCCGAUCAGCUAAAUCAGCCCAUCAUCGGACCCUUAGGUCAAGUCCAAUAAUGAAUGAUGACGCUCGGUUUUAUUCAGUAUGCCUUACUCACUCCUUUAGGAAAAAAAACGUAUGCUUAUCUACUAUUAAAAAAACCUUCUCAGAUCGGAGCCACUUACCCCUCACAUUGAACCCGCCUAUCAUGUGUUUGUGGGAGGGAAUAGGGUGGAGACCUAUAAAAUCUAUAUUAUAAAAAUCGAAAACAAUUGAAAACCUUUCUUAUCCGGAUCAGGACCACCUUACCCUCACACUAAACCCGCCUUUCAUGUAUUUGGGGAAGAGAAUAGGGUGAAGACCUAUAGAAACUGCAAGAUAGAAAAUGUUUCCGCCAAAAAUGUUAUCUUUUUCUCACCGAACACCGUCCUACUCACUGUUGUACCCACCGUGCCUAAGGGGGUGUUUGGCAGGGAGGGGUUAAAUUUUAGCCCCUGUCACAUCGGAUGUUUGGACACUAAUUAGGAGUAUUAAAUAUAGUCUAAUUACAAAACUAAUUGCACAACCCCUAGGCUAAAUCGCGAGACGAAUCUAUUAAGCCUAAUUAGUUCAUGAUUUGACAUGUGGUGCUACAGUAACCAUUCACUAAUGAUGGAUUAAUUAGGCUUAAUAGAUUCGUCUCGCGAUUUAGCCUAGGGGUUCUGCUAUUAGUUUUGUAAUUAGCUCAUAUUUAAUCCUCCUAAUUAGCAUCCGAACGUGUGAUGUGAUAGGGCUGUUUAGCCCCUAACGUCCAAACACCCCCUAAAUUUCUCCCCCGAACUGCCGGCCGCCGCUCCCUACCGCCAGACCUCCCCGCGGCGUUCCUCUCCCACCCGGUUUAUGAUGUCUCAGUGGUAGUGCCUACUCUUCAGAAUCAAAAGGUCACAAGUUUGACCCCUGCUCUUGACACUCUUGCCUUUUUAUUUUUCUCCCUUUUUAUCAGACUUGUGGGACCCUGCUAGAUUUUAUAACGAAUUGGAACACUUUAUUUCCGAACUCAUGCUUGCAUGGGAGAUCCCCUCUCGGUUUAUGUUGUUUUUGCGGACCUUAUUUUUCAACAAAUGCUUACAUAUGGGACCCUGGUUGGUUUAUGAUAUUUUUUGCGGAGUUUAUAUCGUCACAAAACCACCAUGUAACUGGGAGUGACGAUUUCUUUUGUCUACAGUGGCAACUUUUAUGACGUUAUGUAAUUUUAUCACUAAAUUUGCUCAGAUGUGAAACUUUAUGACGAUUUCAGUCAGAAAUGUCAUAGAUCUAUGACGAUAACAAAUGUACCAUAAAAGUUUCGUCACUAGUCGGCAUAUUUCUUGUAGUGAACAUGGUCGCACCAGUAGACCCGGGUUCGAUUCCUCGUGGGAGCAGAUUUACGGGGCUAGUUUGUUUAAAAAAAAAAUCCCCUCAUCGGCAUAGCCGGGGUUCGGGUUUUUUUUUAAGACCCCGAGGAGGUUACUUCUUCUUAAUGAAAAACUGUAAGCUCUUCACUCCAUCAGGUCUAGUUUUUUUUUCGAGCUGGUACACUAAACAAUGCACACAACAUGGUCAAGCAUCUCCUAUGCUCCUGCAUCGCAUUUGUUUGCUCAAAAGGGAUUUUCCUAUAUGAGUGGAAAUAGGCUGAGUCAAAUGUAGUAGACCGAGUAUUUUGUUUUGGAAAAAAAGUAUAUAUGAAGUCCCCACAUACAUAUAAAAUCUUGUGCUCAUAUAUAUGAAUAAGGAGAACCGGUGGUGGUAGGUAGAUCUCGAGAUAAGUUUGUAUAAGUUCGUACACGGAGGGUUUUUUAAACCAUAAACAUAUUAUCGAUUCAUUAUCUUUUACUGUACAAGUUUGUUGGAAACGUUUGCAAGCUAACGAACAAACUGCUGAGGUCGCUCCGAAUAAUCUAUGCUGCACCGGCAUGCAUUAUAGAAGGUAUCCGGCCCGCUAAUUGUGUCCUGAGGUAUUUGAAAAUUUGUCUCUUAUAGCGGUAUUCUAUCCGUAUAUGAAUUGUUUUCGAAACGGAACGUGUACAUGUAGAUCCUGCUUCCACGUGUCGUCCAUCACAGGGAAAUACUCUUCACGUUUUGAUAAUUGGAUGUCGAAAAUUGAUGCAAAAUAUAUUUUUUUCCAAUAAAAUACCCAGUACAUUUCUUGUGACCCGGCCUAUUCUAAGACACUACUCGUUCGGCCCACGGCCCUCCUUCCGGCCCCACCUUAAAACCUAGCCGCCGCAACCACCUCUCCCGUAGCCGCCUCCCGGCGCCCGGCGUCCGCACCCGGUCGCCAGCCUCCGAGCAGACCCCCGUCAACCUCGGCGACGCCACUUCAGUUCGUUUCUCCGGCGUCGCCACUUCGGGUCCCGUCCACUCUCCGGCGUCGCCUCCUCCAGAUCUGUUGUCUCCCCUCCACAUCUCCAAAUCCACGCCGGCGUCGAGAACAAAGACACUCGUGGGUGCCUUAUCUCUAUCUAUCUAUAACGUGCAAGGCUUAGGUGAUAAAAUUGGUAUUUGUUAAAAAACAACCUGGAUGCAACACUCAUAUAUUCAGAUUCAGUGAUUCUUUGUAUCCAUUGCACAGGCUUUUUGCAGAGAUUUGAGUCUCCACCGGUCGAAGAUGAACAAGUGGCGGCGUUACUUGUAUCUCGUGGUGGACAAUGUGAACGGAACCUACCCUCUGCGCCGUAUAGACGCAUCAACUUUGUUCUACCCAAGAGAUGGAUGGAAAAGACCUCCUAGAUUGCAGGAAACUCCGUUGCCUCACCCCCACCUCCAUUUCACCCCUUCACGUAUCAAGGACGGCAAGGGGGCCCUGGAAUUCUUCGGUUUUUUUGGCCGCGGUCAGAAGAAGAGCCUUUUGGCCGCUGUCGACUACAAGGGAUUUUCCCAGACCUACGAUGCCGAGGACCGCACCAUCCAUGUCAUCGUCUCGCCUAAUGAGCCAAAGCACCACAACCCUGUCUCCCUCGCUGUUGGUGAAGCUCUCUAUGUCAUGGAUAGGAAGCCGGUCCCAGGUAGCUGCUGUGGCUUUGAGGCCCUCACAUUUGACAUGCCGAAGGAAGUGAUGGGCAAGUUGGGCUGGGACUGGUACUGGCACUGCCUCAAGGCACCACCUUUCGUGCUUGAGCCUGGCUACAACAACACAAGCAUCCAGGGUUACACGGUGGUUGGUGGCUUCAACAUCUGGAUAUCCACAAGGGGCAUUGGCACCUACUCAUUUGACACAGAUAAUGGCUCGUGGAGUAAGGCUGGCGACUGGGAGCUGCCCUUCCAUGGUCGUGCUGACUUCUUCCCAGAGCAUGGCAUAUGGCUUGGCUUCUCAUCUCAGGGGAAUCUGCUCUACUCGUCAGACCUCGGAGUCUCUAUGCAGUGUAAACCGGAGUUGGACAUGAUUUGGAAAGAUCCGAACCCACUGGAGGAGUGGAUUCCUCUCAAGUCACACCUUGUGCAUCUGGGGUCUGACAAGUUCUGCGUCGCCAGGAUGUUUGAAAGAGUAGAUAUGACUAUUCGUGGCAGCAUACCUCAUGUUGAGAGGUUUGCCGUCUUCACUGGGUUGGUGCUGCAACCUAGCAGGGAUGGCAAGGAGCCUGAGAUGGUGAAUCACAUUUCUCGAAUAUACAGGUUUCAUGGAAUCACCACCUGUUGGGUUUUCUGAGUUGAAUCAGUCAAACUGGAAGCAUGGAGCCCCCAAAUAGUGCAAAUUGCUAGCUUCUGACCUGUGACAACACCAAUGAGGAUGACACCAAUCUGCAGAGAUGGCUGCUGCUACCAAUUCUUGCCAACAAGGAUGGCUGACGCCAAAUAGCACUUGUUGCUUGGUUUAUUCUGAUUCCAUCGCUUUUGUAAUUUGCACUGUCUUACAUCUAUGCACUUAAUAUUGGUGAAUUGUGUGUUCUGUGCUAGUUUCUGUAGUCAGUUAUUUCGUUUCUUGUAUUUAAUUUAAUUUUUGUUGGUCAUUUAGUUGCUGAUCAUUCAUGCCUUCAAAGUUAAUUCCUUCUGUUAUACGGAGUACUAUAGUAAUCUGAAUAUCUGAUUGUUAGUAGCAUAAAACAAUCGAUGUAAGAUCAGACACUUCAGCUGAAUUCUAGUGUUCUUGGUAACAAUCAAAUGUUUAUUAUCUCUCUCUUGCACACGCACACAGAGAGAUGAGACGAGGUGGAUCUCUGUCCUGUCUUCUGUGUUCUCAACUUGUGCCUGUGGUGCUCUACUGUUUUCACGUAAUUCACCACUAAACAAAUGCGUGCAUGGUAGAGGUGACCUGGACUAAAGUUAAAGACCGGAAUAUUUGCAAAGAUUUACAGAGUCCUUUUGUUCCAAGCCCUGUCAACGAGGUAGGCGAUCGUCCACUAAUACCAGGACCUGAAAUUUUCCGUGAGUCUUCACCGGUUGCACGGCUGCGCCUUGUUCAAGUCGCAGUCUGCAGGUGACUGCCAUAUUGCCAUGGACCGGGGGACGCUGUAGCCGUUCAAGAUCUGUAUGACACGCGGUCCGCCAUGAUUGGCUGCUCUCGCAUGUUGUGGACUGAAUGGAAGUUUAGUCUUUCAGGAGUUCAGAGCAUGCCCGGUUUCGUGAUGGAAAAGAUCAUCGAUGCGCCGCCCGCGCAUCAGAUCAGUUGAUCGACGACUAGCCCAGGAAAAUAUCUUCUCGUUUGCCACAUCAGCGAGAUAGUACGCGCGUCCCAAUCAUCGGUCGCAAAAUAUUCCCCACUCGAUCAUGGCUCGUUUUUUUUACGACGAACAACACGGGUAUAAGCAGAAAAAAUAUAAAAUUAUAUUGCCGAGAGGUCAUAAUCAGGCAAAAAAACAAAAAAAAAGAAGCAUAACCGACGGGUUGGAUUGAGACAUAAACACGCGCGUCGAGCUCAACUCAACUCAAACAACUCAGGCCGGUUGGAUUGGUAUAUCGACGCAAGCCGUACAACUCAUCGCACGAGACAACUCAAUCCGGUUGGAUUGGGACAUCAAUACGGAUCACAACAACAAACUCCGCCCGGUCGGAUUGGGAUAGCAAGCCUCCAAAGGUUGGGCAAAACAACACCCGACAGCGGUAGCAAUACCGAAGUCUUACCGCAGUACCCACCAACAUUCUCGCUCAUGUAGUCACCGAGGGUGUGUUUGGUUAGUUGUAUCAUUUGAUUCAUGUAUCAAAUGAUUCAAAAUAAUAAUGAUCCUUUUGUUUGGUUGGGUGAAUUGGACCAACUCAUCCAGGAUGAGGCCAUCCCACUUAAUACAUUAUUCUACUAAUUAGAGUGAACCAUAUGGUACAAGCAAAUUGAUUGAACCACCCCAUCCAGGAUCAUCCAUGCAUGCAUCAUGUGGUGCAUGCAACCAAACACACUCCGAACUUCCAGGCGUGACCCUAUGUCGACAGGGACCAGAAAAAGCAGACUGCACCGCACCGAGAAGGCCACCGCUAUGCGGGACCCUCCACUGUAGUGUCGCUGCACCAUCACACGCCACCUAACAGAGUGAUAACACCGAAUCCGGACUUCUCGCAGGUUGCCUCGAAGUCGCCACCACGAAAACACAAUACAUGGGGGAGCUCACCUCAUCCACCGUCGGACUCCACCUCGCUCUCGUCGCCUCGAAGAAACACCACACGCAGGGGCCUCGCCACGCCCGCCAUAGUACUCCACAUCACGGAUCCGUUUCUUUUGUCACCGUCGGUAUGGUGAGCAAUGUUGCCCCGUGCUCCAAAAUCUCCAUCAAACGGCCAAGCCACCGCCACAGGUCGACUUCACCUCGUUGCUUCGCCCGCGCACAUAACGUCCACCACUAUGUCAGCAAACCAAAGAAAUCGCUUGCGCCGUCUUCUGACGAUGUACCACACCGGAAAGCCCAACCAAGCUGAGUAACCCACCGCGGUCCGCUGCAAGCCUAGUCGUCCCAUGAUACCAUUGCCGCAAGCGUCGUCCUUCGAUGUAGUCACAUGCCGCACUGACCGUUGCCAAGCAACGCCAGCCGCCACGGUCCGCUGCAAGCAGCCAAACCCGACAACCAUGUGUCAACCCAUGGCCGCCACCAUAGCUGCGAACGCCUCCAUGUGGGCUCGACAACCCCCGUCCAGCUUGCCACGUGGUGGAAUUGCCGCCACCGACUGCGGCCACCCAUGACCAAUGGACCAGCAAUGCCAAAAAUUGAGAUAGAUCUAUAGAGACGACACCUCCAAGGAGGGCACGAAGCCAAAGGUGCCAUCAUCGCUCGUCUAGAAUCUGGAUAGGAUUUUAAAAAAUAACGUCCCAACAGGGAAAACGACACCCUAGGACGCUGUCGUCAUCUCCACUAGCAAAAGCGGCAGCGAGGGCUUUCGCCCGAUGCAUCCAACCGCUCGUUGCACGCUCACGACUCGACACUCCCGGACCAUAGCCACGGCUGCCCGUCCAGUGUGGCACCGCCGCCAUAGCUUCACCUCCGCUGUGCUUGCCGACCAGCUGCGCUCGCCACCACUCGACCUCUUCUCGUCGCACGCGGCCAUCACCACGCCGCCACAUCUUCACGCGCGUCGCCCCGCACGUAGCCUCCCUCGCCUGUCCGCCGGCCGGAGGCCUCGUCGCGACUCGCCGGGCCGGCCUCCUCCCGGCCACACCACCGCGCCGCUCACCGCAGCGGCCUCGUCGUGCGGCAUCUCCCAGUCAACGCACCUCGCGCCGCAUCGGGCCGCCGCCGCGCUUCCCGCCGGCUGCCGCAGCCCGACCACCUCGCGCCGCAUCAGCCCGCCGCCGUGCUUCAUUCCCAGGUAGCUGCUGUGGCUUUGAGGCCCUCACAUUUGACAUGCCUAAGGAAGUGAUGGGCAAGUUGGGCGGGGACUGGUACUGGCACUGCCUCAAGGCACCACCUUUCGUGCUUGAGCCUGGCUACAACAACACAAGCAUCCAGGGUUACACGGUGGUUGGUGGCUUCAACAUCUGGAUAUCCACAAGGGGCAUUGGCACCUACUCAUUUGACACAGAUAAUGGCUCGUGGAGUAAGGCUGGCGACUGGGAGCUGCCCUUCCAUGGUCGUGCUGACUUCUUCCCAGAGCAUGGCAUAUGGCUUGGCUUCUCAUCUCAGGGGAAUCUGCUCUACUCGUCAGACCUCGGAGUCUCUAUGCAGUGUAAACCGGAGUUGGACAUGAUUUGGAAAGAUCUGAGCCCACUGGAGGAGUGGAUUCCUCUCAAGUCACACCUUGUGCAUCUGGGGUCUGACAAGUUCUGCGUCGCCAGGAUGUUUGAAAGAGUAGAUAUGACUAUUCGUGGCAGCAUACCUCAUGUUGAGAGGUUUGCCGUCUUCACUGGGUUGGUGCUGCAACCUAGCAGGGAUGGCAAGGAGCCUGAGAUGGUGAAUCACAUUUCUCGAAUAUACAGGUUUCAUGACCACCUGUUGGGUUUUCUGAGUUGAAUCAGUCAAACUGGAAGCAUGGAGCCCCCAAAUAGUGCAAAUUGCUAGCUUCUGACCUGUGACAACACCAAUGAGGAUGACGCCAAUCUGCAGAGAUGGCUGCUGCUACCAAUUCUUGCCAACAAGGAUGGCUGACGCCAAAUAGCACUUGUUGCUUGGUUUAUCCUGAUUCCAUCGCUUUUGUAAUUUGCACUGUCUUACAUGUAUGCACUCAAUAUCGGUGAAUUGUGUGGUCUGUGCUAGUUUGUGCAGUCAGUUAUUUCGUUUCUCGUAUUUAAUUUAAUUUUUGUUGGUCAUUUAGUUGCUGAUCAUUCAUGCCUUCAAAGUUAUUUCCUUCUGUUAUACUACAGUAAUCUGAAUAUCUGAUUGUUAGUAGCAUAUUCGUUUCAGUUACUGUUUAGUGCUGCUUAUUCUACCUGGUUAUAGAUUGAUUGUUUAUUCAUUUAAUGAAAUUCAGUGCUAAGAGUUGACCCGUAAUCCUCGGUAAAUUUGGAUUAUAUAGACGUUUAUUUUUAGCAAUAGCUGUGCUUGCUGCAGUUUCAGCAAUUCACAUUUCGCACAUUUCUUUCGAUAUGGUAGUUUUCAGUAGUGUUUCAGUUGGCAUCUUUCUUGCCACUUGGCUACCUGCAACCCUUUCCCCUACUUUACAUUUAUCAAUGCCCCACUUCUCUACUAAGUGAUAGUCUCUUUAGUACAAAUUAAUUAUAUCUCUUCUUUUUUCUUCUUCUUUUAUUCCUUGUCUCUAAUGUCUCUAAUUUGCGCCUCUACCUAUGGAUGCUCUUAAGCGACGCGCAGCCUACUCUCUCGUUUUUCCAAUCAUUCUUUACCCCCUCUUCUGAUCCUUACUAUCUCCUUUUCUACUUUUCUUCCCUCCUCCCUCGUACCCAUUUAUCUCCAUUGUGCUCAAGUGCCCAACACCUUCCCCUUAUAAUUCUGCAUAGGGUCAGCCCUUUUUCCAUCCAUUUUGAGUCAAAGCGUGUUCAACGGUACACUAGUCAGUGCACAGAACAUGGUUGAGCAUCUCUCGUGCUCCUGCGUAACAUUUGUUUGCUCGAAAGGGAUUUCCUAGAUGAGUGGAAAUAGGCUUAGUCAAUGCAGUAGACUGAGUAUUUUGUUUUGGAAAAAAAAACAGUAUAUAUGAAGUCCCCACAUACGUAUAAAAUCGCGUGCUAUAUGAAUAAGGAGAAUUGGUAGGUAGAUCUUGAGAUAAGUUUGUAUAAGUUCAUACGCUGAGAGUUUUUUUUGGAACAAUAAACAUAUUAUCGAUUCAUUGUCCUUUAGUGUACAAGUUUGCCAAGUGGAAACAUCUGCAAGCUAAAAAUAUGCAGACGGCCUAUCUAUCUUGCAAUGUGCAGAUGAUACGAUCUUAUUCAUGAUCAAAGCUCACCUUUAUUCUCAUAUCUCGAUUAUUAUGUCCCCAAAAGGCUCUUAAAGCUCCAAACACAUAGCAUAAGUUGCCAAAUCUCUUGUACAUAGAAGCAAAAUACUCUGCCUUAGCACUCCUGCAGGUACACCAUUUUUCUUCUUUUGAAAUCGUCCACUGAAUAUAAGUUUCGUAUGGCUAUGUUUCACUUACAAAUGGAUGUUUGCAACAUUAACGAAGAAGUGUGGUUCUCUGUUUGGACCCUCCAUCACGCCUAUGUCUAGUUUUGAUUUUACUCCUGCAAAAAAGAUCCAUUAGUGAUCUCAGAUUUAGAGAUUAUAAAUCCAUCAAGUAAACAACCAGCAUAUUACAUGACCCAACCCUUAGUUCCACAAAUGUUAGAAAAAGAUGGACAGGGGAAUAGAGAAGUCGUAUAAUUUCUAUGUUUGACUGAUGCGAAUUUUUGUCUCUCUUAAUUUAAGAAUACUGCAAUAAGUAAUACAAGACACAUAAUACUGAAUCGCUAUGUUCUGUUUACAGCAUAUUCAUGUAUUUUAAUAGGUAAUAGGGAAAGAACUACAAUUGUUCAUCCAUUAACAUAAAAAGACUUAAAUAUCACUUCAAACACCAUAAAGAAAGAAAGUAAGGAAGAAACCUCUCACAAUUCGAUCAAUCGCGUCAUGAGGAUCAUUCGUCCUGGAUUAAAGAAAACAAUAACACCAAUUUAGUGAAAAUAGAGGCUAACAAAUAACCAUGUCAUGUGCAGAUUAAGCAGGAAAGGAAACAAACAUACCAGUCAAAUGUCCUUGCAAAAUCUGAGCCAGUUCCAAGUGGAAUAAGCUAUCAGUAUUAGUGUAUAAAACAAACAAUUUAGAACAUAAUUAUUGCUAUAGUUUAAGUAUCUAAAAGUUAAAAGGGCAUGGCAUAUGGGCACUCACACCAAGUGUCGUUGAAUGGUCAGGCCCUCCAUCAAGAGCACGCACUGGACUUCCUUUCCAAAACAAGUCAUUCACCAACUACAUAUUCAAAAUAAUAUCCCCAACUCUAUGACCAUAUGCACUCCCAAUUUCAAUAGUUGGAAAAUGUAAACUCGUUUUAGAGGUUGUACAAACAAUAUACACAAUUCCAACUAUAUUUAGCAUGGUUAUACAAACAAUCUACACACAUGAAUACCUCAUGAAGCGUACCAUCGCCGCCAACAGCGAUCACUGCAUCAGCCCCAUCCUUUAUAGCCUGCAGUAAGUACACUAUUACUAGUGCUUAGAAGAAAGACAGUCGCCAAGUGGACCUCAGUAUUUAACAAGGGGACACGCACACACCUCCCUUGUGACAUCUAUGGCGUGGGACGGGCCCGAAGUGAAGCACUCGCAAAUCUGAUCAACCAACACCAACAAACGAAAACAUUCUGUGAGACUGAGACCGCCUAAUCACCACCAGAUCUGAGACCAAACGCGGGUUUCAGUCGGCAAUUACAAAUCCCUGAAAGCUAUGGACGGCGGGCUUACGUUGCACUAGUCGGCGAGGCGGGUGCGGAGGUGUGGGAGCAGCUGCUUCCAUUGGCGCCUGCACCCCGGAGUACGCGCAACGAGAACGGCGUUCAGUGCGCAAAUUCGUUAGGGAACUGGCGGGGGCGGAGGGGGAGCGUACCGGAGGGGUUGACGACGAAAACGAAGGCGCCACGCCGGCGGUGGGAGGCGGCGACACGGUCGGAGGUGAGACCGCCGGCUCUGGGCUGGGAGUGGGAGUGCGAGGAGGCACGCGGGAGGAUCAGCGAAGCCCUCGGUGUCGCCGGCGCGGCCAUGGCGCCGCUUGCCGCUUAUCCCCCGCCUUGGCUUUAGAGAAGGAAACACACUGCCGUGUGACGUGAAAGGCGCCGCCGGCUGCCCAAGUACGCCGUGUGAAGGAUGAAGCCGACUUCCUUAAUCACGUGUCCCCUGUGGUUCAAUUCUGGCCUGCUGAUUCGUGUGCAGUCACCACUCACCAGUCAGUUGUCUAUUCAGAUGAUCAUCAGUCCGGCACGCCUCAUCAGUUUUUCGGUGUUUUCGUAACGAAAAUUUCUCGCACGAAUUCGAAUUGCAGCAAUGCAUUGGCCUAGGAGAUAGACUUUCUGAACUUGAAUGGCAGAUUAGUUUUCUUUUGAUGCGUUUUACAGUUCAUUCUCUGAAUGUAGAGGGGUGGCAGAUUGAUGUGCAUGGCCAGGCAACAAGACGCUAAUGCGACGUGCAAAACAAUUUGCAAGCAAAGAAGUACCAUGCAUAGCACAAUCACGUCCAGUUUAUAUUUCCACGGUUUGUAGACUAAGGCCCAGCAAGAACAGCUAGAGAUACAUCAAAUGUACUGCUAAGUGCGAACAUAUAGAUUAGCAGCACUGCACCUAAUAACAAAAUUUUGCAAAAUUCAACCUCCGCAUCUGCGAAAGGGUUUGAUUCCUUAACUAUACUACAGAGCUCAAUGUGCUCCCUACUUCUGUUACAAAUCUCAAGCAACAACAAAUCCGAGCACCGGACACCUCAACCCUGCACUGCUGCCCCAAGACUCCGUUAUCUGCUUCACUUUCAAGACACAAGAUGUACUUUCUUGCCAUCCACGUUGAAUUUCCUGCUCCCUUGAAGCUGAAGAACACAAUGAGACGGAACAGAAAUCAACAUUGAGCAGCAAAAUAACCAUUCCUCAAUCGAAAAAGAACAAUGUUGCAUCUAAAGUUACUGACAGCUUAUGAUACAUGAGCAAAUAAUCAUAGCAGCUAAUGACUAAAUAGUAAAUACUGUUUAGAGAAACAGACAGCAAGAGUUGGCUCCUUUCCAUUUUUUGGCAGGAUAGAUAUCCAAUGCAACUGAUCAUGUGCAGAUAUGUAUAUGAGCAUACCUUCUUCAGAAACAACAUAGCUUCACGUCUACAAGAGAAGCUGGAGAAUACAGCAUUUGAACGUUCUUCGACGGCUACCUUAAGAUCCUUCAAUUUCAUUGACUGAGAUGCAUGGGGCCUGGAAAGAACAAUAGUCAGUAGCAAUCAUAUACCAGAGCACAGCACAUUAAGUACUCACAUAGAAGACAGACUGUACCUCACGAAGUAUUCUUUUGCAAAGUUUCUUGACCUUGGUUUUGGAUUUAACAUCCGCAUGCAAUACUUUAUCUGUACUCUUCUGUGUGUCAAUCGAUUCAACAGUAGUGGCAGGUUGUUCCUCAUUGUCAUCUUCUUCAAUUUCUGAAUAUUCAUCAUCGGACUGGGCUGGACUAUCUUCAUCACUAUCACCAAAUGAAGUUUUGUUUCCCUUCCAACGAUGGCCAGCAAUUUUCAUUGGCAGGCCCUUUAUGCCAAGACCCUGCUUGCCUGAAGUAGCUUUAUCCUGCAGCAAAUCACAGACCAUGCAUAUAUUAAGAAUUCAGGUACAUUUAAUUGUUUUAAAGAACAUGUCUGUUAUGUAAUCACGCACACAAUUAUCAAUGUAAUAAAUCAACAUCUAGGUUUGUUCAUCAAGUGAAAAUGGCAUAAUGUAAUCUAUGCGGAGUGAAAUGAAUUGAUAAUUUUGCUUAAGAGGUAGUUGAAAGACUGUAAAAUCACAUCUUGAGUGCACUCAGCAUUCACAUCACAUCUCCAAAUUUGAAAACUAAAAUAGCAAGAUCUCUGUUUAACAUCACUAUAAUCUGUGUACAGCACAUCAUACCAAUCAACCUGAACAAGAUUGUACAGAUUUUCUUGAUCUUCCUCCGCAAAUGUCUGGCGGACAUUAGAAGGAUCUUUUCGUGAAGAUCUUUUUUUACGAGAUGUUGCUCCAAGAAACCCUCCUGACACAAAUCCAAAUUUGUGCCCCCACCAGUUUACAUCUUCAGCUUGGGAUACUGCACAAGCAAAGAGUUGACAAAGCAAGUUACUAAAACCUCUAUGAAAUUUAGCACACAAUGAAGAAAAGGUACAAAUGUAAGAGCACAACAAGCAUGCAUUUCUUCAGCAGCGCUAGAUGUAGAUACAGUACCUAUUUUUUCUAAUAAGCAUGAGACUACAGCAUAGCAAACAAAACAUAAAAUCGUAGUAAUAUCUAUUACAUGCUAAGUGGACAAUCUAAAAUUCCCAGGUAAUUUUUGGUAGCAGGAAAGGGUGGGCCUGACUACUGUACUUGUACUUCUGGUUUAAAAGAACAAAAAAAAUUGCAUAAUAAACCUGAUUUAAUUUCAAGAACUCAGAUUUCAAUAGCUAAUGUGCGUGCCAUGGCAUAUUUAGAGCAUUGUUUGUUUAGCUCCUAGAAUGUAGUUCUAGCAUCGUACUAAAAGUAAGGCACCUCAGAUCAAUAAGGAAAUAACAGGCCAGAAGCUUGUGCAACAUAGUUAAGCCAGGGGAAAAAACAGCUGGUGAAAUUGAAAAGCACAAACUGCUUAGUGCUGACCUGCAUCUGGGCAGAUGAUAGGAUCAGGUUCAUCCAAGCAUGUAGAUUCAACUUUCUGAUCCAUUUGGCAAUUAUCUUCGUUUUUGCGUACCUGUGCCAAGACAGGUUGCUUUAGAGAUCCAAACAAGGCAAAUUAUUUAAUAAUCUCUUCUUGAGAAUUGUAGCUUAAGUUUCAAAUGCUCGCAGGAGAAUCCAGCGGAGUAGCGCAUGUAGGCCCCCGCCGCAUGCACGCCGCGCGCCCACACACAGACGACGCAUAUCGUGCGUCCACGAAGAUUUCCUCCGCCCAUCGGCGAACUCCAUGGUCCGCCAUCAGAUUUCCCUCCGCCGAUCGGCCAUGGCUCGCUCGCAGGAAACCCGGCCAGAUUGUUGUGGUGAUCUACUUGUAUCUCUAGCGCCCUGCACCAUGGCUGCCUGGUGUACGAACCCAGUCGAUGUCAUCGCAUGGAUCAGUUCGUUCGUUCGAAAUUGAAGCUCUCGGCGUGCAAAGCACUGUUGCCAUGUGGUACACUGUGCAGGAGGUCAGGUGGAUCGAACGCAGGUGUGCGAGACUAGUGUGGUGAGUGGUGACCCAUCACAACACAAAUGAUUUUGCUCGCAUGCGAUGGACGAGGGCCAUGAUCUGAUCCGAUCCGUGGUGUUCAUAAUUCUUCCCGAGUCCCUUUCGUCCACAUGCAUGCUUUAAGACACGUACGGUCUCGGCUUAACAAAGAGUAGUUAAAGGAGAGAUUGCAUGCGUGCGCGCCGGACUGUUUAUCAUGUUGUCAUUUGACAGGAUAGAUCGAUCGAGGAGGGUGAUGGAGAUGGCGUCGCGGACGGCCGUGUCGGCAUUGCCGUGGCACCACUCCAUGCUCGACGUGGAUGCGCGCGCCGGGCUCGCCGGCGCGACCCUGGGCCUCGGUGCCGAGAACCGCCGGAGAGCCCUGACCUUGCGGUAAAGCGGCAUCAGGAACCGGAGGUACUGCACCAGUAUCUUCCACGACGACGACCGGCCGCGCCUGCCUGCGGCGAAGAGCGGCGGCGGCCCGAUGGAGGCGUUCUUGCCGCCGGCGACGCCGCUCCUGCCGCUGGAACACGAGCUCAGCGAGGCCGGCGUUCUCUGGGCCGAGCGGUACAGCGGCGACGAGGGCGACGACCGCGGCGCGCUGGGCAGGUCGGCGACGCGGUCCCCGUGAUGUUCUCGGGCACCGGAGUGGCGGCAGACGGGCUCGCUGGGCAGGAGGCGGCCGUCGCGGAUGAUCUGGCUGGCGCUGACCAGCACCGGGGACGGCGGGUCACUGCUCACGCUGCCGCCCCCGGGCAAGCCGAACUCGAAGUCGCUCUCCGGCGGCGGCGCCGUGGUGGUCCACCGCAUGGAGAAGAGCUCGGCGGGGUCCAUGUCGAUGAAGGACCUGGAGCUGCCGAAGGAAUAGCCGAGGUCGGCGUCGGCGAACGGCGGCAUCGCCUGCGCGCUGCGCUUGAGCCAGCCGCGGGAGAAGCUGUCGCCGAGGUGCUGCAGCGAGGCGACCUCCAUGAGCGCGGCCGGGCGUCGUGCGCGAGUUACCAGAGCACGCGGUGAUGGGGGUGAGCGAUGCGUGCGCAAUCAAUCGGACGGAGGGCCAAAUUGUUUCCUGCGUUUUCUUUUGUUUUCCCCGUUGCGGGCGGGGCUCUCAGCUUUCCUCCCCUUUCUCACUUCCGCCAUCUCUCCUCUUUUCCCCCCUCGCCAAUUUUAUCUCGCGCGCGCGCAAAAGAAAAGGGUGGCGUACUUUGGACGGACACGCACCAGCGCGGCCGUGGGAGCAGGGCGGACCCACUGUUGUGCCCGGCAUACCCAAUAUUUUUGGAAAAUUUUUUAGUAGUUCUUGCAGCUAUAUAUAUAUGUAUAAUAUAGUUUAGGGCUCCAAUUCGCGUCCAGACCAACCUGGCCCGCAGACCACACCCCGCCGGCCGGCCCAUCGGCCCAUCUAACCACUGAUCCCCCCACCACCACACUAAGCCCGUCAGCCGGUCAGGUCCCGAGCUCCUGCCUGACCUAGUCCGCUACCGCCGCCAGGCGCCAGGCACAGCCGCACGCACCGCGCCGCCCCCGUCCACCCACGUCCGCCGCGCGGCCGCGCCGCGGCGCCGUCCCGCGCCCCCCGGCCCCCGCGGCGAGAUCCCGUCGCCCGCCGCCGCCAGACCCCUUCAGGCCUCCGCCGGCAGGUCUACCCGCGGUCCCGCGCGGCGCUGCGGCCUCUCUGCUCUCGGCGCUCGGCGCUCGCGGCGCUCCGGCGCCGGCGCAGCCCCACCAGGCGACCGCCCCCCCUCGGGCCUCGGCCCCUCCCCGGCUCCCCCCGCCCCCCACCAGGACUGCCUGCUGCCCCCCACCGCGAGGUAAGCGAAAUCGACUGCUCAAUCUCUCAACCCGUUGACAUGAUGCACACGGUUGUAAAAAUAGAUGUGUCAGAAUAGAUGCAUUGCCAAUUGCUAUAGAUGCACACGGUUGACAUGAAGAAGUCAAAAAUGACAUUUGGUUCCUUGUAGGCAGUACAAAAUGAAGAAGUCAAAAAAUAUUGAUCUGAAAUCAACGUGGGAAAGGGCUACGAAGACACGCAUGUAGAUUCUCUUCUGAACUUUUUAGGUUGUUCGUCUAAAUAUUUUUUUUCAAUGGGCAUACCCUACUUUGAAAUCCUAGGUCCGUCAUUGGGAGCAAGCACCGGUCCCACGCUGCGUUAGUCUGUAGCAAUCAUAUACCAGAGCACAGCACAUUAAGUACUCACAUAGAAGACAGACUGUACCUCACGAAGUAUUCUUUUGCAAAGUUUCUUGACCUUGGUUUUGGAUUUAACAUCCGCAUGCAAUACUUUAUCUGUAUUCUUCUGUGUGUCAAUCGAUUCAACAGUAGUGGCAGGUUGUUCCUCAUUGUCAUCUUCUUCAAUUUCCGAAUAUUCAUCGGACUGGGCUGGACUAUCUUCAUCACUAUCACCAAAUGAAGUUUUGUUUCCCUUCCAACGAUGGCCAGCAAUUUUCAUUGGCAGGCCCUUUAUGCCAAGACCCUGCUUGCCUGAAGUAGCUUUAUCCUGCAGCAAAUCACAGACCAUGCAUAUAUUAAGAAUUCAGGUACAUUUAAUUGUUUUAAAGAACAUGUCUGUUAUGUAAUCACGCACACAAUUAUCAAUGUAAUAAAUCAACAUCUAGGUUUGUUCAUCAAGUGAAAAUGGCAUAAUGUAAUCUCUGCGGAGUGAAAUGAAUUGAUAAUUUUGCUUAAGAGGUAGUUGAAAGACUGUAAAAUCACAUCUUGAGUGCACUCAGCAUUCACAUCACAUCUCCAAAUUUGAAAACUAAAAUAGCAAGAUCUCUGUUUAACAUCACUAUAAUCUGUGUACAGCACAUCAUACCAAUCAACCUGAACAAGAUUGUACAGAUUUUCUUGAUCUUCCUCCACAAAUGUCUGGCGGACAUUAGAAGGAUCUUUUCGUGAAGAUCUUUUUUUACGAGAUGUUGCUCCAAGAAACCCUCCUGAUACAAAUCCAAAUUUGUGCCCCCACCAGUUUACAUCUUCAGCUUGGGAUACUGCACAAGCAAAGAGUUGACAAAGCAAGUUACUAAAACCUCUAUGAAAUUUAGCACACAAUGAAGAAAAGGUACAAAGGUAAUCGAAAUCGACUGCUCAAUCUGUUGACAUGGUGCACACGGUUGUAAAAAUAGAUGUGUCAAAAUAGAUGUAUUGCCAAUUGCUAUAGAUGCACACGGUUGACAUGAAGAAGUCAAAAAUGACAUUUGGUUCCUUGUAGGCAGUACAAAAUGAAGAAGUCAAAAAAUAUUGAUCUGAAAUCACCGUGGGAAUGGGCUACAAAGACACGUAUGUAGAUUCUCUUGUGAACUUUUUUUAUGUUGUUCGUCUAAAUAUUUUUUUUCAAUGGGCAUACCCUACUCUGAAAUCCUGGGUCCGCCACUGGGAGCAAGCACCGGUCCCACGCGUUAGGGAAGUGGGAGGCGGGCGGGUAGGGUGCGGGCGAGGUGGCGACAAGGCCUCCACUGGAGGGGAAGGCUUGAGGCCUGGAGCGCGUGCAUCGGUGGCCGCUGUUCAGAGUCAGAGAGGAGCGCGAGGUGGGCGGGGCUGGUCAGAGGGAGGAUGCCGCCGUGGUCGGUCGGUGUGGGGCCCGGGGUUGCCCGAGGCCGAUUCUAGGUAGGCCAGGGCAUCUCGGCACGCACACAUAUAGGUGCAUCUCAUUGGAUCAAGCUAUCCAAACGACAUCGCUACUGAUCUGAUCAUGAUUAAGUGUUAUGCUAGUAUAGUUUAGAUGCAUGUGGGAGUAGAGUUGUAGAAGUAGGAGAGCUGCUGCUGCUGUCCACAUGCUUUUAACACCGAACUCCAAGUGGCCGUAGCUUCUAACUCGUCACCAUGCAGCAGCUUGACCAUCGUAAAAGUAACAUCAUUCAAAGUUUAAAAGUUCUCAAUCUGAUUGUUGUCUGUCAGAUCAUACUUUGUGUUCUUAAACUUAAACGUCUCGAUUCAUGAGACGAUUAAGUUUUCUAGCGAAAACUGCUCCUUACCGAGUGUCCACCCCUCCCUGUGUGCUUGCACCAUCAAAUCCUUUAGGCUUUUCAUCGAGAACUUGCCACCAUUAGUUAGAAGCCUCGACCACUUGGGGUUCGAUGUUAAUAGCAUGUGGAGACCUUCGUUAGGACCAAUCACCUCAAUCAGCAUAGAAUUUUCUUUGAAAUGGUUAACUGGAUUCUUGUACAGUAAGUGGUAACAAUCUUUAUCAACGCAGUUGACAGUACAACUUUCUUGUAAUAGAGGUGCAAUGGUUAUCAACAUUAUAUUGUUGUGCCUGCUUAUUUACGUAAAGAUAAGUAAUUCAAUUUACAAGAUAAUUUUCACUCUAGGAAGACUAGUUGUAAGGUUAGGUUAUAAUAGCUUAACGAAAGUCGUACUUUCCAUGCAACAAUUACAUCUCAUUCAUUUAACGAAACAACGAAACAAACCUUGGAAAAACUGCUCAAACCGAAGAUUGUGAAAGAGGUCUAUCAUUUUUUCUUCCUCUCACGAAACUUAAUAGCGCCUCUAAUUAUCUGCGGUAACCACCUUAGAAACUUAUACUGCAGCAGCACAUAGAUUGCCUUAGGUUGGUAAUAGGGUACGACAAUUGAACUUUGGUUCCCUGACCCUCCAAGCAAUCGUGUCAUGACGGUUAGGGACAGAUUGCUCGGAAUCUUUCCCUGGUGGCUCAGGCAGUGGGCAAUGAUGUGUCGUGGAAAGAUGAUGACAUGUCUCUCAUUUUUGACAUUGUAUCUUCCUUUGAUAUGACUGAACAAGUGGUCCAACCAUGGAUCAUUGGUUGAUAUGAUGGUUCAGUCAUCUUAAGGAACAACUGGUGUUCUCCAGGACAAGUUUCUUUAGUAUAUGUGCAGCAUCAAAUGUAUGUGUCGAUAACAACCUGCUGUCGUCCUCCAUGAACAACUCGUGGAAUUUCAUAAAUGCUGGUCCAUAGCAAGACACAGGAAGAAGUGCUGGGUAUAAGUCAAUCCACAAGGUAGUUAGCUUGGGGUUGGCGAUCGUUCUCAGAUCAGCAAUCAUCAUCAUGAAAUCGUUUGCCAAGAAGCUAAUGAUGUCAUCACCAUGCAGCAGCUUGACCAGCGUAAAAAUAACAUCACUCGAAGCAAAAAAAGUAUCAAUCUGAUUGUCGUCUGUCAAAUCAUACAUAAUAAGCGCGUUCUGAAACUUAAAUGUCCUAAUUUAUGAGACGAUUAAGUUUUCCAGCGAAAGCUGCUCCUUACCGAGUGUCCACCCGUCCCUGUGUGCUUGCACCAUCAAAUCCUUUAGGUUUUUCAUCGAGAACUUGCCACCAUCAGUUAGAAGCCACGACCACUUGAGGUUCGGUGUUAAUAGCAUAUGGAAACCUUCGUUGGGAUUAGUCACCUCAAUCAGCAUAGGAUUUUCCUUGAAAUGGUCAACUGGAUUUUUGUACAGUAGGUGGUAACAAUCUUUGACAGUUGAGAGUACAACCUUCCUGUAAUAGAGGUGCAAUGGUUAUCAACAUUAUAUUGUUGUGCCUGCUUAUUUAUGUAAAGGUUAGUAAUUCAAUUUGCAAGAUAAUUUCCAAUCUAGGAGGUCCAGUCUGCAAGUUUAGGUCAAGUAGCUUAACGAAAGUCGUACUUUCCAUGUAACAAUUACAACUUAUUCACUUAACGAAACAACCAAACAUACCUUAGAAAAACUACUCAAACCGAAGAUUGUGAAAGAGGUACACCAUUUUCUUACUCUCAUGGAGCUCAAUAGCGCUUCUAAUUAUCUGCGGUAACCACCUUGGGAACUUGUACUGUAGCAGCACAUAGAUUGCCUCAGGUUAGUAAUAGGGUACGGCAAUUGAACUUUUGUUCCCUGACCCUUCAAGCAAUCGCGUCAUGGCGGUUGGGGGAUGGAUUUCUCGGAAUCUUUCCCCGGUGGUCAGGCAGGGGGUGAUGAUUUGUCGUGGAAAUAUGAUGACUUCUCUCUUAUUUUUUAUAAUGUAUUUUUCUUUGAUGUAACUGAAUCACGUAGUCCAACCAUGGAUCAUUGUUUGAUAUGAUGGUCCAGUCAUCAUCAGGAACAGUUGGUAUUCUGUAGGACAAGUUCUUCAGUAUAGGUGUAACAUCAGAUGUAUGUGUCGACAACAACCCGCUGUCGUCCCGCAUGAACUAUUCGUGUAAUUUCAUAAAUACUGGUCCAUUGUAAGACACAUGAAGAAGUGUUGGGUAUAAGUUAAUCCACAAGGUAGCUAGCUUGGGGUUGGCGAUCGUUCUGAGAUCAGCAAUCAUCAUGAAAUCGUCCGGUAUGAAGCUAAUGAUGUCAUUAGCAUGCAGCAGCUUGACUAGCGUAAGAGUAACAUCACUCGAAAGCUAAGAAGUCUUCAAUCUGAUUGUCGUCUGUCAGAUCAUGACUUAAUGAGCGCGGUCUUCNNNNNNNNNNNNNNNNNNNNNNNNNNNNNNNNNNNNNNNNNNNNNNNNNNNNNNNNNNNNNNNNNNNNNNNNNNNNNNNNNNNNNNNNNNNNNNNNNNNNUAGGGGUGGGUGGCCACUCGGUAAGGAGCAGUUUUCGCUAGAAAACUUAAUCGUCUCAUAAAUAAGGACGUUUAAGUUUCAGAACGCGCUUAUUAUGUAUGAUCUGACAGACGACAAUCAGAUUGAUGCUUUUUUUACUUCGAGUGAUGUUACUUUUACGCUGGUCAAGCUGCGACUUGGUGAUUACAUCAUUAGCUUCUUGGCGAACGAUUUCAUGAUGAUGAUUGCUGAUCUAAGAACGAUCGCCAACCCUAAGCUACCUACCUUGUGGAUUGACUUAUACCCAGCACUUCUUCCUAUGGCUUGCUAUGUACCAGCAUUUAUGAAAUUCCACGGGUUAUUCAUGAAGGACGACAGCGGGUUGUUGUCGACACAUAUAUCUGAUGCUGCAGCUAUACUUAAGAAUUUGUCCUAUAGAACACCAUGUGUUCCUGAAGAUGUCUGGACCAUCAUACCAAACAAUGAUCUAUGGUUGGACCACUGGUUCAGUCACAUCAAAGAAAGAUAAAAUGUCAAAAAUGAGAGACAAGUCAUCAUCUUUUCACGACACGUCAUCACCCACUGCCUGAACCACCGGGGAAAGAUUCCAAGCAAUCUGUCCUCAAUCGCCAUGGCGCGAUUGCUUGGAGGGUCAGGGAACUAAAGUUCAAUUGUCGUACCCUAUUACCAACCUGAGACAAUCUAUGUGCUGCUGCAGUAUAGGUUCUCGAGGUGGUUACCGCAGAUAAUUAUAGGCGGUAUUGAAUUCCGUGUGAGGAAGCAAAUGAUGGACCUUUUUCACAAUCUUUGAUUUGAGCGGUUUUUUCAAGGUGUGUCUGCUUGUUUCGUUAAGUGAAUGAAUUGUAAUUGUUGAAUGAAAAGUACGACUUUCGUUAAGCUACUAGGGCCUAACCUUGCAGACUGGCCUCCUAGGUUGGAAAUUGUCUUGCAAAUCGAAUUGCUUACCUUUGCAUAAAUAAGCAGAAACACCAAUAUAAUGUUGACAAUCAUUGUAACUCUAUUUCACGAAGGUUGUACUAUCAACUGCCAAAGAUUGUUAACACCUACUGUACAAGAACCUAGUUGACCAUUUCAAAGAAAAUCUUAUGCUGAUUGAGGUGAUUGAUUCCAACGAAGGUCUCCACAUGCUAUUAACAUCGAACCCCAAGUGGUCGUGGCUUCUAACUGAUGGUGGGAAAUUCUCGAUGAAAAGCCUAAAGGAUUUGGUGGUGCAAGCACACAGGGAGGGUUGGACACUCGGUAAGAAGCAGUUUUCGCAAGAAAACUUAAUCGUCUCAUCAAUCCGGACGUUGAAGUUCAAGAACGCGCUUAUUAAGUAUAAUCUGCCAGACGACAAUCAGAUUGAAGACUUUUUUAGCUUCGAGCGAUGUUAUUUUUACGUUGGUCAAGCUGCUGCAUAGUGAUGACAUCAUUAGCUUCUUGGCGAACGAUUUCAUGAUGAUGAUUGUUGAUCUAAAAAUGAUCGCCAACCCCAAGCUAGCUACCUUAUGGAUUGACUUCUACCCAAACACCUUUUUCUGUUUCUUGCUAUGGACCUCCAUAUAUGAAAAUUCACAGGGUGUUCAUGGAGGACGACAUCGGGUUGUUGUCCACACAUACAUCUGAUGUUGCAGUUAUAUUGAAGAACUUGUCCUACAGAAUACCAUGUGUUUCUUAAGAUGACUCGAUCAUCAUAGCAAAGAAUGAUAUAUGGUUGGACCACUGGUUCAGUCACAUCAAAGAAAGAUACAAUUUGAAAAAUGAGAGACAAGUUAUUAUCUUUCCACGACACGUCAUCGCCCACUGCCUGAACCACCGGGGAAAGAUUCCGAGCAAUCUAUCCCCAACUGCCAUGGCGUGAUUGCUUGGAGGGUCACGGAACCAAAGUUUAAUUAUCGUACCCUAUUACCAACCUGAGGCAAUCUAUGUGCUGCUGCAAUACAGGUUCCCGAGGUGGUUACCGCUGAUAAUUAGAUGCGCUAUUGAGUUCCGUGAGAGGAAGAGAAUGGUGGAACUCUUCCACAAUCUUCGGUUUGAGCAGUUUUUCUAAGGUGUGUUUGGUUGUUUCGUUAAGUGAAUGAGUUGUAAUUGUUGCAUGGAAAGUACGACUUUUGUUAAGCUACUAGUGCCUAACCUUGCAGUCUGGGCCUCUUAGAUUGGAAAUUGUUUUGCAAAAUAAAUUGCUUAUCUUUACAUAACUAAGCAGGCACAAUACUAUAAAUUUGAUAACUAAUGCUCCUCGAUUACAAGAAGGUUGUACUGUGAACUGCCAAAGAUUGUUACCACCUACUGUACAAGAACCCAGUUGAUCAUUUCAAGGAAAUCCUAUGCUGAUUGAGGUGACUGAUCCCAACGAAGGUUUCCACAUGCUCUUAACACCGAACCCCAAGUAGCCCUGGCUUCUAACUGAAGGUGGGAAGUUCUCGAUGAAAAACCUAAAGGAUUUGGUGGUGCAAGCACAAAGGGAGGGGUGGACACUCGGUAAGGAGCAGUUUUCACUGGAAAACUUAAUCGUCUCAUCAAUCGGAACGUUUAAGUUCAAGAACACGCUUAUGAAGUAUGAUCUGAUAGACGGCAAUUAGAUUGAAGACUUUUUAGCUUUGAGUGAUGUUACUCUUACGCUGGUCAAGCUGUUGUAUGGUGAUGACAUCAUUAGCUUCUUGCCGGAUGAUUUCAUGAUGAUGAUUGCUGAUCCGAGAACGAUUGCCAAGCCCAAGCUAGCUAUCUUGUGGCCGGUCGUCAGCCGCCAUGUGCGACUCGCGUGCUCGGCUACAGUGACCGACCGCCGAAUCGUCGAUGGGACCCAACGGCAACCACCCUUUUUGUGGGAGAAGCUCUGAAAUGGGCAUGCCACUCGAUUGCGUUCGUCGCGGGAGAUCUGGGAGAAAGAUUUUGUGGGUCCACCGGUCAGUCUCGGUUGGUCCACUGCUUAAAUUGAAAAAAGGUACUGUGGGAAGACUUAGAAGGAUGCGACGGUAUGGGUUGGGGUCGGCAUGGAUCGGAGUUGGAAACCAGCGGAAGGGGUCGGAUACUCAGGGGUCACGGGAUGCUUGGCGGCCCUAAGUCGCUUCAUCUCGCGCCUCGGUGAGCGAGGGCUUCCUCUCUAUCGACUCCUAAAAAAGACUGACCGCUUCGAAUGGAUUGGCGAGGCCCAGGAGGCACUUGACCGGCUCAAGGACCUCCUGACGAAGGCCCCGGUUCUAGUCCCGCCGACCGACGGCGAGCCCUUCCUGCUCUACAUCGCGGCGACCACCCAAGUGGUUAGCGCGGCCCUGGUGGUGGAACGAAAAGAGGAGGGACACGCUCGCAAGGUACAACGCCUGGUGUAUUUCAUCAGCGAGGUCUUGUCCGAGUCCAAGACACGUUACCCACAGAUCCAGAAGCUCAUCUACGCCGUCCUCAUCACGAAGAGGAAGCUGCGCCACUACUUCACCUCCCACCCGGUAACGGUUGUUUCGUAAUUCCCGUUAGGCGAAGUAAUCUGGAACCAGGACGCCACGGGAAGGAUCGCGAAGUGGGCGCUCGAGCUCAUGGACCAGGGCAUCACCUACGCCUCCCGCACCGCCAUCAAGUCCCAGGUACUCGCUGACUUCGUGGCAGAGUGGACGGAGGUUCAAUCGCCAUCGGCGCCGGAGAGGCAGGAGUACUGGACAAUGUACUUCGACGGGUCGCUGAUGAGGGCCCGCGCCGAAGCGGGUCUCGUCUUCGUCUCUCCUCUAGGCGUGCGCAUCAGGUACAUGAUCCGCCUCCAUUUUCCUGCGUCCAACAAUGUCACCAAGUACGAUGCCCUCCUCAACGGGCUCCGCAUCGCUAUCGAGCUGGGCAUCCGUCGGCUGGACAUCCGGGGCGACUCCCAGCUAGUCGUCGAACAAGUCAUGAAGGAAUGGAGCUGCCACGACCCCAAGAUGGCCGCCUACUGCAACGAGGUUCGCAAGCUCGAAGACAAGUUCGAUGGGCUGGAGCUCAACCACGUCGCAAGGCGCUUCAACGAAGCCGCCGACGAGCUAGCGAAGGCGGCAUCCGGCCGAAUGCCCGUGCCCGACGGCGUCUUCGUUAGCGACCAGUUGAAGCCUUCAAUCCGUUACCCGGAGCCGGCAGGGGUCGGCGAAGCCCCCCCGACCCCGGGGUCGGGCCCCGACUCAGGGGAGGUCGGUAGCACGCCGCCUACCCCAGGCUCGGGCGCCAGCCCCUAUCCCUCUAGCCUCAUGGUCAUGGCAAUCGCGGCAGAUCCCACGGUGUGGGCCGACCCCCCGACCGACUGGAGAGCCCCUUACCUCGACUACCUCGUCCGCGACACGCUCCCGGUAGACAAGACGGAGGCCCGUAGGAUCGCGCGCCGCGCCAAAUCCUUCGUCGUCAUGGACCAAGAGCUCUACAAGAGAAGCCACACUGGGAUCCUCCAGCGCUGCAUCCCGAUCGAACAGGGGAAGGCGCUGAUCCAGGAUAUCCACACCGGAGCCUGCGGUCACCACGCCGCGCCAAGGAUCCUCGUUGGCAACGCCUUCCGACAAGGUUUUUACUGGCCGACCGUGGUCGCCGACGCUACUCAGGUAGUCCGCACCUGUGAGGGGUGCCAAUUCUUUGCGCGUCGGACUCACCUACCCGCGCAGGUGCUACAGACCAUCCCCAUCACGUGGCCGUUCGCGGUCUGGGGGCUGGAUCUCGUCGAACCCUUCAAGAAAGCGCCCGGGGGCUUCACCCACCUACUUGUCGCCGUCGACAAGUUCUCCAAAUGGAUCGAGGCAAAACCGGUGGCGCAAAUCAGGUCCGAGCAGGCGGUACAAUUCUUCACCGACAUCAUCCACCGCUUCGGGAUCCCAAGUUCCAUCAUCACCGACAACGGCACGCAGUUCACCGGGAAGAGAUUCCUCCAGUUAUGUGACGACCACCACAUUCGAGUGGACUGGGCGGCCGUGGCACACCCCCGCACGAACGGGCAAGUCGAGCGAGCCAACGGCAUGAUACUCCAGGGUCUCAAGCCACGGAUCUUCAACCGCCUUAAAAGGUUUGGCGGACGGUGGGAUGCUGAGCUCCCCGCAGUCCUUUGGAGCCUGAGGACGACCCCCAGCCGAGCGACGGGCUUCACCCCGUUCUUCAUGAUUUACGGGUCCGAGGCCAUCUUGCCCACCGAUCUAGAGUACGGACCGCCGAGGGUCAGGGCAUACGACGAACAAGGAAACCAGGCAUCACUCGAGGACGCGCAAGAUCAACUCGAUGAGGCACGAGACGUAGCCCUGCUGCACUCGGCUAAAUAUCAGCAGGCCCUACGGCAUUACCACAGCCGUAAGGUGCAAGGCUGAGCCUUCAACAUCGACGACUUGGUGCAAAGCCUCGUCCAGGACAACAGGGGUCGGCACAAGUUAACUCCCCCGUGGGAAGGCCCCUUCAUCGUCGCGCAAGUACUGCGGCCUGGCACCUACAAGCUGGCGACUCCCGACGGGCAGAUCUUCAGCAACGCCCGGAACAUAGAACAGCUAAGGCGCUUUUACCCCUAGCUCUUAUUUCCAAGCUCUGCACAAACUUAUCUGCAAUUUUGAUAAUUUUCUUUUUGCGGAAAAAAGAAAUUCCACGCCGUCUCUAUUCAGGCUUUUCCCCUCAAGCUCAGGGGCAUCUAACCCUGGCCUCGCUCCAGGGCCGCAUACCCCUCGGGGGCUAUCAAGGGCUCCGGUCCAAGCCACUUGGCACCAUCUAAAAGAAAUGUUUUUUCUUUCAAACCGAGCCCCCCUUCUUUCUAAACCUUUGGACGCAAAAAGGAAAGAAUGCGCGAACGGUGCUCAGGCAAGAUUGACCGGACUGUGAAAAAACCUACGCCCCAGCGGUUACGGUGCCUUCGCCCAUCAAAGCUUACUGACACACCCAACGACGCACUCCAAACUUUCAAAGUCCAAAGGAACAAAAAGGGGGAUCGGAAACUUUCGAACGACAAAGUUAUAAAAAAGGCCCGUAUGGCCAUCACGAAACAAGUUCGAAACUGACAUAUUUACAAUUGGGGCGCAAGCCCGGUACAACUAACUUGACGGGGGGUCUUCAGGAGGGAUGGCCUCAUCUUCCAGGAGCUUCGCGAGGGCUUCUGCCGGGGUGAACACCGCCGCAUCAAUCUCGUCCAGCUCGGCCUCAGAGUAACCGGCGGCGUACCCUCCGCUCAUCCCGGCAAAAUUGAUGCCGGAAUAGUGGGAGCCGAAGACCCCGAAGGCUCGCCGCACGCCGGUGUGAAGCGCGUCCACGACGAUCUCGCGACUCCGGUGGCGUACCCCGAGGACACGAGCCGGCAGGGAGCUCGACCCCUCCUUCAGAACCACGCCGAAGCCGUCGCAGACGACGCGGACCGCAUCCCGCAGGGCGCUGGGCUCACUACGCUCCUCGUCGAGCAAGUCCUUCAGCUUGGCGAGUUCGCUUGCAGGAACCAUCCAGAAAAGCCCAUCAGGUCAGGAACCACCGCAACACCACGGGAACGCAGAAACGGAAAGGAAUCUCACCGUCGGCCCAGGCCUUCAGCUCGCGCUCCCGGUUGGCUCCUUGAGACACGGCGGUCUGGAGUCCCUGCACUUGCGACCGGAGGUGACCAACCUCCGCGCCAAGGUCAGCCGCCACCUUCUCGGCCUCCUCCUUCUUGACCUUCUCGGCGUCCCGGUCCUGCCAAGCUUUGUGCCGCUCACGCCGGAUGCGCUCGACGGUCUUUUGGAGGGCUUCAUGCUCCCCCCUCAGCCGUGCGAGCUCCUCAGCGUCGUGGCGGGCCCUCUCAGCAGCAGCCUGGAACUCCUCGUGGUCAAGACGGGCCUUGUCGAUGACGGCUUGGAGCUUGGCCUCCGAUCGCCGCGCCUCCUCCUGCGCCGCCUCCUCACGCCUUUGCAGGUCGGCGAUGACCCCCUGGGCAGCCGUAACCUGCAUAGACAGCUCCCUGGUGUGCUCCCUCUCCACGUUGAAGCGCUCCCAGAGCCCCCGCUCCAGCCGGAGGAAAUUAGAUUUCCCCCGACUGCACUCUUGGAGGGCCUGCAAAGCGACGUACCAUCAGGGACAAAGCAAUGGGGAAUGAUGAUCACCAACAGGAAAGAGCAACGUACGUGGCUACCAGGGAGGACGGUGUUGUCCAAAGCCCCCAUCGCCGAGGACAGAGCCGCGCGGGCGUGGGCAAGGCCACUCUGCACCGCCUGCCACUUGUGCAACUUCGCGGCGUCGUCCAGGGUGAAGCGGCGCCUCGGCGGAUCCUCGCGGGAUGACCAACGCAGGACGGACCCCCUCCACGCCCUGGGAACGGUGGGAGCUGAGGCUGAGGCGGGAGCCGAUCUUGACGCUUCCGUCGGAGUUGGCACCACCACACCGGAAGCCGCCAGGUUUGCCGACGGCUCCGACGCCUGCACACCCGUCGUCGCCGAGGUCGCCGCGGGGUCGCCCAAUGGCAGCGCCGCCUCUGACGCAAGCGGCAAGUUAGGAAUCCCCGCGGCUACCUCGCCCUCCGCCGUAAUCGCCGAGGGAGGCUCCUCCGCCCCUGCCGGAGCCACUCGAGCGGGCCCCUUCGCCUCCGCCAUCGGAGUCACCUCCGCCGGGAUCCUCGGGGCGGAGGUCCCCGCCUCCGUCGCCGCUACGUCCUCCGCCGCGGUCGCAGGGGUAGGCACUCCCUCCUCUGUCGCCGCCGCCGUCGAUCGCACCACGGCUGCGGGGGCAUCCGUCCCGCCUCCCGUCGCCGCCGUCUCCUCCGCCUCGUCGAUGUCAAGGUCAAUCACCUCCCCGGCCUGAGGACCCGGGGGAAUGAUGCCCUGCGCUGUAGGGGCGACCGGGGGAACCAAAGGCGGAAUGGGGUCCACUCCCCCGUAACCGACGCCGCCGUCGCUCCGCCAGCCGCCGUCACGGGGGCCGCCUCCGCGGAGGGGUCUGCGGCCUCACCAAGGACCUCGCCGCUCGCUGCGGGCGGGACCGCGAUCCGUCCCCCGGAGGAGGACAACACCCGCACCGCCUUCUUAGGCGCCAGUUGCAUGAUGAGGCCACGAGGGGCGGCGCUGCACAUCAACAAGCAAACGUCAGCGGGAACGAACGCGAGAAGGGAGAGGAACGAGACGCGCGAGGAAUGCCAACUUACGUUCCUGAAGCGCAAGGGCGACGCGCGCGCUUCGCUUCGGAGCCCGACGCCGACCCCGGGGCAUCUGGCAGCGGCCGCUUGUCGCCGCUUCGCUGCCCUCCAGUCUCGGGCGCGACGGUGGAGGCGGUCUCCGCGGACCUCCGGGGAGCGGCCUGGGUGGACUCCUGGGGGACACCCCGCGCCGGCUCCUGAGCAGCGGCGGUGUAGGCUCCGAAGACCCCCGGGGGCGCUCCGCGCCGGCUCCAGGGAGGAGCCCCGUGUCGACCCCUGGGGGGCACCCCUCGCCGACCCCUGGGGAGCGUCCCGCGCAGGCUCUGGGGAGGUGCCCCGCGCCGACCCCUUGGGGGCGUCUCGUGUCAACUCCUAGGGGCGCUCCGUGCCGACCCCUGGGGCUACGCCCCAGGGCCUUGCGGAACCAGGGCCCGGGCGGACGCCCCCUCCGCCUCAUCCCCCGCGGCCGUCCACGAGCGCACCUCCCGGAUUACAAGUGCACCCGAUCGGAGGGAGGAAAUCAGCUCCUCCCCCUCUUCAUCAUCUUCCUCAUCUUCAUCAUCGUCGUCGUCGUCGUCGUCUGUCACGACCUGCCCCCUCCGCCGCCGUUGGAACUCCUUGGCGGCCUUCUUCUUCUUCUUCUUCGCCGUCUCCUUAUCCUUACGACGCUUCUGCGCCUCAGCAAGGAGACGGUUGCGCGUUCGCCGAUCAGCGUCUUCCGGCACCGGCGGAAGCGAGUCCACGACCCGGGUCAGCGCGCCCUACGAACGUAAAACGUAGAAAGGAAGUCGGCGCCCCAACCCCUUUCCAGGUCUAUGAAGCCCGUGUCGGGGCGCAUCGGCGGGUGCCCGGGCACCGGGUACUCGGCGUCCUUGUCCUCCAGCGCCUCCCAAAUUCGUUGCUGGAUCUCGGAGGCGGCAAGCGCGCCCGCCGCCAAGGCGGUGCCCUCGGUCGGCGCGUCCGGAGUCAAGGCGGCAAGCGAGCGGACCCGGAGCAUCAGCGGCGCCACUCGCCGGGCAUGGUACGCCCCGAUGACCCCGGCGCCGCUAAGCCCGCUCCUCUUCAGCUGCUCGAUGGCCUACAGCAGGUCGAAGAUCCGCUUCUUCUCCUUGUCCACCGGCCCGUACGCCCACACCUCCGGCGCCACGUCGAUGGUACGGCCGGUGAGCUCCGGCAGUGUUGGGGGGAAAUAUUAACGACCCCCUAACACACUGCUUAAAAAAGCAAACAUGAAGGCCCAGGCCCACCAAAGCAUGAUCAACUCUCCGCCUCGCCCGACCCAGGCGCUAGGAUCGGGAGCGCCCGACCCUCCUCCGCAAGGUUUCCGCCUCGCCCGACCGCGACCCCAGGGUCGGGGGCGUCCGACCCUGCGCCACGAAAGUUCCGCCUCGUCCGACCCCGAGCGAAGGAGUCGGGCGCACUGGGGCCCACAAGUCCGGGAGCCCCCUCGGAUACGGUCCGCACAGACGAGACAAAUCCUGUGGGUGCCCCCGUCGGCCUCACCAUAAAUGCACCACAGAGUUGGCAGAGGGCAGGGCGACCGAGCCCCUCACGCAACCUGGCGCAAGUACCCGUGCAUGACCGUCCUGUGCAGGCUACAGUGCCGGCGGCCGGUUCUCAUUCGCCACGGAGCACUCAUGACCUGCGCCGACCGGAGCAAAAAAGAGAGAGGCCUGUCCUCGGGUCCCGCACACCCUCGAGUCUCGCGCACCCAACAGUGCGGACGUAACACCCUCCCUCUCAGCGGCCAUCGCCGGAGCAGCGGUAUCCACCGUCCUCCCUAACGGACGCUGGGGUAACGACGAAGCCGCCUCAUCAUGAGCUAACCUGGUACCUACGAACAUCGAAGUAGCUACCUACGGGGAGCAGCAACACUUGGCAUCCGGCGACCUCCCCCUCCGGCAUGCAUGACGACACGCGUUUAGGGUCGGCAGGACAUCGGGCGCCUAGGAUCUCUCCCCUCCUUCCUGCCUUACUUUUUACCAUCUUACUCUUUACUCUUGACAGACCUUUUUUACCCGAUCCCAAUUGUAACUCCGGCCGUCCCCUUGCGAUAUAAAAGGAGGAACCUAGAGCCGGAGAGGGGGGAAUCGAAAAGGAUAGAAUCAACCAGCUUCUUCUCCCGCACAUCAUAGUACACAACCACUGUUCCUAAGAGCACGAAAACCGAAGAGACUUGGGACCAGUCCCCUCUCUCGCCCAUCUGUAACCCCCUACUACAGAACCCCCGCGCGGGCAACACGAGCAUCCUCGAUACUGGACGUAGGGCUUCCUUUACCCAAACCAGUCUAAUCCGUGUCUCCCGUGCAACCAUCUGAGGCUCACGCGCAUAAAAGAAAUUUACUAGUCUAAGUCUUGAUCCACUGAUCUUGACAACGACAGUUGGCGCGCCAGGUAGGGGACCUUUGCGCGUGCAUCUCCAAGUCUCAGAUGGCCAAUGGCGAUAGCAGCUUUGCUCUGGGCUCCCUGAUUCGUUUCGGGAGCCUGGACUUCCUGGCCACCGGGAAAGGGAUCGAGCUGAUCCCUGUCCACGUCCUGCCCGCUCGUCCCGCUGCCCUCGGCACCACCGCCAGGGCAGCGACGAGCGGCCGGACGCCAGCCAGGAGGGUCUCACCGGCGACGAGCGGCCGGACGCCAGCCAGGAGGGUCUCACCAGAAGGAUGGCUCUUCGGGCUACGCAACGCCACGGGGGCUCACGGCCGCCUCCUAGCGCGGUCCUUCCCCGCGUCACCCGCGAGCAACGAGCUCGUGGGCGUGGCAAGAACAUUCUCCGACACUGGCUCUAGUAACGAGAAUCCCCGCCCCUCGCGCGAGUGCUUCAUGGCCGAGGCGCACUCCGAGGGGUCCAAUGGCGAUGGUGCCGAGGGGAGGCGACGGGCUCCCCCCUCGGACGCCGCCGCUACGGCUGGAGGCUUACCCAGGGCCCCAGAGUGCUCACAGCAACCGGAAGCGCACGUGGGCGCUCGCCAGGGAGUAGAGCACCCCCAUCACGAGGGGGGAGCGCGGCAACGGGCGCGCGACGUUCAGGAACGCAUCUGUGCGGAUGGAGAACGCCCGCCGCUCUUUGCCCGCGCUAGCCAGAACGUCGCCGCGGCGGCGGUGUUACUCCGGCACCUUCCCGAGCCAGCAACGCCCGAGGAGCGACGGGCGCGCCAAGAGAUGCACAACCUGCUCGAGUGCGCCGCCGUCCAGCAGGCGGAAAGUUCAGCGUCUCGACGACGCGGCCAGAACGCCAGUCGGGCGACGCAGGGCGCGCCUCCAGAACGGCGGGGGGAAUCUGUCCAUCAACCCUCUCCGGGGGCGGAUCCGGCUGCGACCGCCCAACGAACACCGCCACCCGCGGAAGGCGAGGCCCGAUCCGUCCACCAGCGCGUCGGUCUCGUCCGCGACGCCCGCGACACGCUGAACGCGCGGAGACGCUCCCGCGCGGACAGGGGGGACGGGGCAGAUCGAGGCUACCACGUCCACCGAGGCGGGCGCUACGACAGCGGGGAGGACCGCAGUCCGAGCCCCGGAGCGGCUGGGCCUCGGGCUUUCUCCGCGCGCAUCCUAAAUGCGCCCUUUCCGCCGCGCUUCAGGCAACCGACGAGCGUGGCCAAAUACUCGGGGGAGACCAACCCUGGAGUAUGGCUCAGCGAUUACCGGCUUGCAUGUCAAGCCGGCGGGGCGGACGAUGACCUGUUCAUCAUCUGCAACUUACCCCUGUUUCUAGCAGACUCCACGAGAGCCUGGCUAGAACAUAUCCCUUCAGGACGCAUUCGCAACUGGAACGACCUGAAGGAGGUUUUCGUAGGAAACUUCCAAGGGACGUACACACGCCCUGGCAACUCCUGGGAUCUUCGGAGCUGCCGCCAGGGGGCAGACGAGUCCCUCCGGGAUUACAUCCGGCGCUUCUCCAGAAAGCGCACCGAGCUCUCUAACGUCGCCGACGCCGACGUUAUAGGAGCCUUCCUAGCAGGGACCUCCUGCCGGCCACUCGUCCACGAGCUAAGGCGCCGAGGCCCGCGAACCACGGAAGAGCUCCUCAACAUCGCCACUAGCUACGCCUCUGGCGAGGAGGCUGUUGGAGCGAUCUUCGAUCGUUCCAAGGGCAAGGCGAAACGGGAGGAGGACGCCGACGAAGGCACCUCCAACCGCCAGCAGCAGAAGAAGAAGGGCAAGCAGCGACGCGAGGCUCCACUCGUAGCCGCAGUCGAGCGCAAGCGGGGGCAACCGCCCCCCGACGGCGCAUCGGGCUUCUUCGACAAGCUGCUCGAGGGGCCGUGCCCGAACCACGAGUUCCCCGUCAAGCAUGCCUACAAAGAUUGUAACCUCAUGAAGAGGUUCUUUGUGGGCAAUCCGGUGAAAGGUGACCGGAAGCGGAAACCCGACGAGGAAAAGAAGGGUGACGAGGAGAAGGAAGACGGCUUUCCUAAAGUUGACGGCUGCUUCAUGAUCUUCGGGGGCUCUGUCGCGUACGACACCAGGCGCCAGCAAAAGCUAGAGCGCCGGGAGGUCUACGCGGCCGAGCCUGCGACCCCGGCUUUCCUCGAUUGGUCCGGACCGGCUAUCACCUUUGAUAGAUCCGACCACCCGGGACGCGUCCGGCAUCCGGGGCGUUACCCUCUCGUCGUCGACCCCAUCGUCGGUACGACACACCUCACCAAGGUACUCAUGGAUGGGGGCAGCGGCCUCAACCUCCUCUACGCCAAGACCCUCGACGCCAUGGGGAUCGAUCGCUCCCGUCUCCGUCCUAGCAAGGCUCCCUUCCAUGGCGUUGUGCCAGGGAAGCAGGCAACGCCCCUCGGGCAGAUCGACCUGCCCGUCACGUUCGGGACCCCUUCUAACUAUAGGAAGGAGGUCCUCACCUUCGAGGUGGUAGGGUUUCGCGGAACCUACCACGCCAUCUUGGGGCGGCCAUGCUACGCGAAGUUCAUGGCAAUCCCCAACUACACCUACCUCAAGCUCAAGCUACCAGGGCCUAACGGGGUAAUCACCGUCGGCACAACCUUCCAGAAGGCAUACGAGUGCGACGUCGAGUGCUGCGAGUACGCCGCGGCCAUCACCGUCUCGGGCGACAUGGUGGCCCAGCUUGAGGAGACGAUCGAGGACCAGCUCGGCGCCAAGCAGUCAGGUGCCUCCUUUGAGCCCACCGAAGGCAUCAAGGAAGUCCCUCUCGACCCCGGCAGUUCCGGCGGUGGGGUCGUGCGGAUCAGCGUAGCCCUAUCCCCCAAAUAGGAAAGCGCGCUCGUCGACUUCCUUCGCGCGAACAACGACGUCUUUGCGUGGAAGCCCUCGGAUAUGCCAGGCAUCCCGAGAGAAGUCGCCGAGCAUUCCUUGAACAUCAGGGCCAGCUCUAAACCAGUGAAGCAAGGCUUGCGCCGUUUCGACGAAGAAAGGCGCAGGGCCAUUGGUGAAGAGCUCCAGAAGCUCCUGGCGGCCGGGUUCAUCAAGGAAGUACACCACCCGGAGUGGUUGGCUAAUCCUGUUCUUGUACCGAAGAAGAACGGGAAAUGGAGGAUGUGUGUCGAUUAUACCGGUCUCAACAAAGCGUGUCCAAAGGAUCCGUUCCCUUUGCCACGCAUAGAUCAAAUAGUAGACUCAACCGCCGGGAGCGAAACACUCAGCUUCCUUGAUGCGUACUCCGGCUAUCACCAGAUCGCGAUGAAAGAGGCUGACCAGCUCGCUACCUCCUUCAUCACCCCCUUUGGCCCCUACUGCUACGUUAAGAUGCCAUUCGGCCUCAAAAACGCGGGGGCUACCUUCCAGCGGUGUAUGCUUAAGUGCUUCGGAGAUCUCAUCGGGCGGACCGUUGAGGCCUACGUCGACGACAUCGUGGUCAAAUCCAGGAAGGGCGAUCAGCUCGUUCCCGACUUGGAGCUAGCCUUCGAAAGGCUAAGGGAUAAGCGUAUCAAGCUUAACCUCGAGAAAUGCGUGUUCGGUGUCCCAAGGGGCAUGCUGCUAGGCUUCAUCGUCUCCAUGCGCGGCAUCGAGGCGAACCCGGAGAAGCUAGCGGCCAUCAACGACAUAGGGCCGAUCCGGAACAUUAAGGGAGUACAACGCGUCAUGGGAUGCUUAGCAUCCCUAAGCCGCUUCAUCUCACGCCUCGGCGAGCGAGGACUUCCUCUCUAUCGGCUCCUGAAAAAAUCCGAUCGCUUUGAGUGGACCAGCGAGGCACAGGGAGCACUUGACAGGCUCAAGGAUCUCCUGACGAAAGCCCCAAUUCUAGUUCCGCCGGCCGACGGCGAGAUCCUUCUACUCUACGUCGCGGCAACCACCCAGGUGGUCAGCGCGGCCCUAGUAGUGGAGAGGGAGGAGGAGGGGCACGCUCUUAAGGUGCAACGCCCGGUGUACUUCAUCAGCGAAGUGUUGUCCGAGUCCAAAUCGUGAUAUCCGCAGAUCCAGAAGCUCGUCUACGCCGUCCUCAUCACGAAGAGGAAGCUGCGUCACUACUUCACCUCCCAUCCGGUAACGGUCGUUUCUUCAUUCCCGCUUGGUGAACUAAUCCGGAACCCGAAUGCAACAGGAAGGAUCGCGAAGUGGGCGCUUGAGCUUAUGGAUUAGAGUAUCACCUACGUUCCCCGCACCGCCAUUAAAUCCUAGGUACUUGCCGAUUUCGUGGCCGAGUGGAUAGAGGUACAAGCACCGACGGCAACAGAGGAGCAGGAGUACUGGACGAUGUACUUCGACGGGUCGCUGAUGAGGGCCCGCGCCGGAGCAGGCCUCGUCUUCGUCUCUCCGUUGGGCGUACGCAUCAGGUACAUGAUCCGCCUCCAUUUUCCUGCAUCCAAUAAUGUCGCUGAGUAUGAAGCCCUGCUCAACGGGCUCCGCAUCGCCAUCGAGCUGGGCAUUCGUCGACUAGACGUCCGAGGCGACUCCUAGUUGGUCGUCGAACAAGUCAUGAAAGAAUGGAGCUGCCAUGACCCUAAAAUGGCCGCCUACUGCAACGAGGUACGUAAGCUCGAGGGCAAGUUCGACGUGUUGGAGCUCAACCACGUCGCAAGGCGCUUCAAUGAAGCCGCCGACGAGCUCGCAAAGGCGGCGUCCGGCCGGAUGCCCGUCCCCGACGACGUCUUUGUUAGCGACCAGCUGAAGCCUUCAAUCCGUUACCCGGAGCCAGCAGGGGUCGGCGGGGCAUGCCCAGCCUUGGGGGCGGGGUCCGAACCAGGGGAGGUCGGCAGCAUGCCACCUGUCCUGGACCCGAGCACCGAUCCCAAGGGAACCAACGCUGCCCUACCCGACCCGGCCUCGGAAGCCAAGCCUUCCGACCCCGUGGUUAUGGAAAUCGAGGCAGACCCCGCGGCGGGGGCCGACCCCUCGACCGAUUGGAGAGCCCCGUACCUCGACUACCUUAUCCACGACGCGCUCCCGACCGACAAGACCGAAGCCCGCAGGAUCACGCGCCGUGCGAAAUCCUUCACCAUCAUCGACCAGGAGCUUUACAAGCGAAGUCACACUGGGAUCCUCCAGCGCUGCAUCCCGAUCGAACAGGGAAAGGCGCUGAUCCAGGACAUCCACGCUGGGGCUUGUGGUCACCACGCUGCGCCAAGGAUGCUUGUGGGCAAUGCCUUUCGACAAGGUUUCUACUAGCCAACCGCGGUCGCGGAUGCUACCCAGGUAGUCUGCACUUGUGAGGGAUGCCAGUUCUUUGCCCGCCAAACCCACCUGCCCGCGCAGGCGUUACAAACCAUCCCCAUCACGUGGCCGUUCGCGGUCUGGGGACUGGAUCUCGUCGGACCCUUCAAAAGGGCGCCCGGGGGCUUCACCCAUCUACUCAUCGCUGUCGACAAGUUUUCCAAAUAGAUCGAAGCAAGGCCAGUGGCGCAAAUCAGGUCCGAGCAGGCGGUACAGUUCUUCACCGACAUCGUCCACCGCUUCGGGAUCCCGAACUCCAUCAUAACCGACAACGGUACGCAGUUCACCGGAAAAAGAUUCCUCCAGUUCUGCGACGACCACCACAUUCGAGUGGAUUGGGCGGCAGUUGCGCACCCCCGCACGAACGGGCAAGUCGAGCGAGCCAAUGGCAUGAUACUUCAGGGUCUCAAGCCACGGAUCUUCGACCGCCUUAAAAAAUUCGGCGGACGAUGGGUUGCGGAGCUCCCAGCAGUCCUUUGGAGCCUGAGGACGACCCCCAGCCGGGCGACAGGGUUCACCCCAUUCUUCAUGGUCUACGGGUCAGAGGCCAUCUUGCCCACCGACUUGGAGUAUGGGUCACCGAGGGUCAAAGCAUACGACGAACAGGGAAACCAGGCGUCACUCGAGGACGCACAAGACCAACUAAACGAGGCGCGAGAUGUAGCCCUGCUACACUCAGCUAAAUACCAGCAGGCCCUACGGCGUUACCACAGCCGCAGGAUACAAGGCCGCGCCUUCAACGUCGGAGAUCUAGUGCUCCGCCUCGUCCAAGAUAACAGGGGUCGGCACAAGUUGACUCCCCCAUGGGAGGGCCCGUUCAUCGUCGCACAGGUGCUACGACCAGGCACCUACAAGCUGGCAACUCCCGACGGGCAAAUCUUCAGCAACGCCUGGAACAUAGAACAGCUAAGGCGCUUCUACCCAUAGCUCUCAUUUACAAGUUAUGCAUGGUCCUGCCAUCCUUUCCGUUCUUUCUUUUAAGCUCAGGAGUAUCCGACCCUGGCCUCGUUCCAGGAUCGCAUACCCCUCGGGGGCUACCAGUUUUGUUCUUCUGCGAAAAAAGAAACCCUGAGCCACUUUGGCUCAGGUCCUUUCGUUUAAGCUCAGGGGUAUCCGACCCUGGCCUCGCUCCAGGGUCGCACACCCCUCGGGGGCUACCAGUUUUGUUCUUCUGCGAAAAAAAAAGAAACCCUGAGCCACUUUGGCUCAGGUCCUUUCGUUUAAGCUCAGGGGUAUCCGACCCUGGCCUCGCUCCAGGGUCGCAUACCCCUCGGGGGCUACCAGUUUUGUUCUUUUACGAAAAAGAAGGCCUUUUCUUUUAAACUUAGGGGUAUCCGACCCUGGCCUAGCUCCAGGAUCGCACACCCCUCGGGGGCUACCAGGGGUCCCGACCCCAGCCGCCGGGCACCGCCUUAAAAGAAAACGUUUUUUCUUUUUUCAAAACCGAACACUCCCUUUCGAAAACCAUUGGACACAAAAAGAUAAGGAUGCGUGAACGGUACUCAGCCAAGUUGCGAUCGGACUGCGAAAAAGCCUACGCCCCAGCGGCUACGGUACCUUCGCUCAUCAAAAACUUACUGACGCACCCGGCAAUGCAUCCAAAAGCUUUCAAGACCAAAGGAAUAACAAAGGGAAACGGUUUCCUUAGCGCAAAUAAAAAGUCAUAAGAACAGGCCCGUAUGGCCAACACGAACGAGUUCAACACGACUGACUUAAGUACAAACUUUUUUCGGGCACAAGCCCGGUACAGCUAAUUAACAGGAGGGUCGGCCGGAGCAGUGGUUCCGGGGUCGGCUGAAGCAGCGGCUUCGGGGUCGACAGGAGCGGCGGCUUCAGGGUCGGCGACGGCGGCGGCCUCAGGAUCGAUAGGGGGGACGACUUCAUCCUCCAGAAGCUUCGCGAGAGCCUCCGCUGGCGCGGUCACCACGGCGUCGAUCUCAUCCAGCUCGGCGUCUGUGUAGCCGGCGCAGUACCCCUCACUCAUCCCGACAAAAUUAAUGUCGGCAUAGUGAGAGCCGAAGACUCCGAAGGCGCGCCGCACGCCAAGGCGAAGCGCGUCCACGGCGAUCUCGCGACGACGACGGCGCACCUCGAGGACACGAGCCGACAGCGAGCUCGACCCCUCCUCCGGAGCGACGCCGAAGUCCUCACAGAUGACGCGGACCGCAUCCCGCAGGGCGCUAUGCUCGCCGCGCUCCUCGUCGAGCAGAGUCCGCAACCUGGCGAUGUCACCUGCAGGACCCACUCGAGAAAUCCCACCAAGUCAGAAGAAGCAAAACACCAAUGACACAAAAACGCAGAAGCAGAAAAAGCCUCACCGUCGGCCUCGGCCUUCAGCUCGCGCUCCCGGUCGACGCUGCGGGACAAAGCGGACUGGAGCCCCUGCACUUGCAAACGAAGCUGCUCGUGCGCCGCACGAAGGGCUGCACUCUCCCCCCUCAGCCGCGCCAGCUCCUCGGCGUCUCGGCGGGCCCGCUCAGUAGCAGCGGCUUUUAGCCCCUCGGCAUCGCGGCGGGCCCUGUCCAUGGCGGCCUGGAACUCCUCAAGGUCGAGGCGGGCCUUCUCCGCGACGGCCUAGAGCCUGGCCUCGGCACGCCGCGCCCCCUCUAGCGCCGCCUGCUCACGCCCCUCCAGGUCGCGAACGGCGCCCUGGGCGGCGCCAAGCUGCAGGGUCAGAUCCCUGGAGCGCUCCCUCUCGGUGUUGUAGUGCUCCCAGAGGUUCCGCUGCCGCCGGAGGAAGUCAGACUUCUCCCGGCUGCCCUCUUGGAGAGCCUGCAAAGAAGCAUUCCGUUAAAAGCAAAAAAAAAAAAGUAAAGAGAAGGAACUCAUCGCCGAGCGGCAGGAACAACAUACCUGGCUGCCGGGAACCACGGUGUUGGCCAAAACUCCCAACGCCGAGGUCAGAGCCGCCUGAACCUGGGCGACGCCGCCGUGCAUCGCCUGCCACCUAUGCCACUCGGCGGCGUCAUCCAGCGCGUAGAGGCGCCUCGGCGGGUCAUCGCGGGACGUCCAGCGGAGGACGGGCCCUCUCCACGCCCCAGGGACGGAGGAAGCCGAGGGCGGAACAAGGGCCGACUCUGACGUCGCCGUCGAUGACGACAUCACGACGCCAGAAACCCCUGGAUCCACCGACGGCUCCGGCGCCUGCGCGCCCGUCGCCACCGCGGCCGCUAACGGCACCCCUGUGGGCACCUCCGUCUCGGCCGCUAGAGUCACCCCCGCGGGAGCAACCGGGACGGAGACCCCGGUCUCCAGCACCACUGCCUUCGCCGCCGCCGCGUCCUCGGGAGCCAGCGCCCCCUCUGCCUCUGACCCCGCCAUGGCAGCGGGGGCAUCCGCCCUGCCCACCGCCGUCUCCGCCUCCUCCGCCUCGUCGGCGUCAAGGUCGAUCACCUCCCCGGCUUGAGGGCCCGGGGGAAUCACGACCCGAGCCGGAGGGGCGAUCGGUGGGGCCGUAGGCGGAGUGGAGUCCGCUCCCCCUCCGGCGGAGGAGGAGGACGUCCGCAGCAUCUUCUUGGGCGCCAGCCGCAGGGUGACGCCGCGGGGAGAAGUACUGCACGUCGACGGACGGGCGUCAACAGAAACAAACGGAAAGAGAAAGGAAGGAUGACACGUAGGAAGAGUCAACUUACGCCCUCGAAGCGCAGGGGCGGCGCGCGCGCUUCGACUCGGAGCCGGACGCCGACCCCGGGGCGUCUGGCAGUGGCCGGUUGUCGCCGCCCCGUUGCCCUCCGCCAACAGGCACGGCGGCGGAGGCAGCCCCCACGGAUCCCCGAGGAGCCCCCCGAGCGGACUCCUGGGGAGCGCCCCGCGCCGGGCCCAAGGCAGCGGCAGGGGCGGACUCUGAAGGCCCCUGAGGGGCGCUCCGUGUCGACGCCGGGGCGGCAUCCCUUGCCGGCCCCGAGGGAGCAUCCCGCGCCCGCUCCUGGGGGAUGCCCUGGGACGACCCCGGGGGGGCGCCCCGCGCCCCUCCCCGGGGGAGGCCCUGCGCCGACCCCCGGGGAACGUCCUGCGCCGCCCCCUGGGGAGCAAUCCGCACCGGCUCCUGAGGCGCGCGCUGCGCCGACCCCUGAGGAGCGGUCCGCACCGGCUCCUAGAGCACGCGCUGCGCUGACCCCUGGGGCACGGUCUCAGGACCCGGGGGAGCCGGAUCCCGGGCGGACGCUCCCGCCGCUGCACCCCCUGCAGCCGUCUGCGGGGGUGCGUCACGAAUCACCAAAGCCCCCGAACGGGGGGCAAACAGCUCUUCCUCCUCCUCUUCUUCUUCUUCUUCUUCUUCUUCUUCUUCUUCUUCUUCUUCUUCUUCCUCGUCGUCGUCGUCGUCAGACACGACCGCCCCUCUCCGCCGCCGUUGGAACUCCUUGGCGGCCUUCUUCCGCCGCUUCUCCGUCUCCUUGUCCUUCCGGCGCUUCUGCUCCUCGGCCCGGAGACGAUUGCGAGCCCUCCGCUCGGCAUCCUCCGGCACCGGCGGGAGGGAGUCCGCAACCCGGGUCAGCAUGCCCUGCAAAACGCGAAAGAGGAUCCGCAUCAGAACAACAAAACAACGGGACAUCAGGAGGGAGAAGCGGCGACCCAAAAACCUUACCAGGUCUACGAAGCCCGGCUCCGGGCGCAUCGGCGGAUGCACGGGGAUCGGGUAGUCGACGUCCUUGUCCUCCAGCGCCUCCCGGAGCCGUUGCCGGAUCUCGGAGGCAGCGAGCGCGCCUGUCGCCAGGACGGUGCCCUCGGUCGGCAUGUCGGGGGACAUGACGCCAAGUGGACGCGCCCGGAGCAUCAGCGGCGCCACCCGCCGGGCGUGGUACGCGCCGAUGACCCCGGCGCCGGUGAGCCCCUCCCGCUUCAGCUGCCCGAUGGCCUGCAGCAGGUCGGAGAUCUUCCUCUUCUCCUUCUCCACCGGCCCGUACGCCCACACGUCGGGCGCCGCGUCGAUGGUGCAACCGGUGAACGCCGGCAGGGGGGAGUUCGGGUAGUUCUUCACGUAGAACCACUGAUUGUGCCACCCCUUGUGGGACACCGAGGUCUUCACCGUCAUAUACUCCUUGGAGCGAGUAUGACGGAGGUGGAUCCCGGCGCACCCAAUCGGCACCGGAGGCGACCGCUGUUGGCUCCCGGCCUUCCCCGCCUUCUGGUACAGGCUCACGGUGAAGAAGUACUUUCAUAACUCGAAGUGGGGCUCGAUGCCCAGGAACCCUUCGCACAGCGCGACGAAUGCCGCGAUGUGCUGGAUCCCAUUGGGGUUGAGAUGCUGGAGCUCGAGCCCGUAGUAGUAGAGGAGCCCGCGGAAGAAGCGGCUUGGAGGGGAGGCGAAUCCCCGCUCGUGGAAGUGGGCGAAGGAGACGACGUAGCCGGCGGGCGGCGACGGGACCUGUUCCGGCCCCGGCAGUAUCCACUCGUCCGCCGUCGUCUUCUCGCAGAGGAGCCCCUUUCGCACCAGGCCCUCGGCGCGGUUGGCGGUGAAGUGGGAAACUCCCCAGGAGGCCAUCGCCAAGGAAGGAAGGGGACCGACGGAGGCGAAAGCGAAAGCACGCGGCGUGAAGCAAUGGGAACAAAGCGAGCGAGGCGAGCGCAAGUGAGCUAGGAAGGCAAGAAGGCUCGAGUGCGGAAGGAGAGGAACCGGCGCGGCGUGCUUCUGCUUUUAUAGGAAAAGUACCGGGGAAGCCCAAUCGACGCCCCGGCCCCCAUAAAUGCGGCGCCAGGUACGCCCCUGCCGCGCCCGUUUCCUUUUCGAAAAACGCGCGCACGAUCGGCCGCGAAAAAACAUCCUAUCUUCCUCGAUCCGCGGGACGACGCUUCCAUAACUCCGCUUCCCGGGUAUCGCGCCCACGACGCUCCCCACGACCGGCCCAGGCACACCAACCGCUCCGCUCCGGUCCAAGGCCCACAGGGAGGUAAGAAAGGGAUACGGGGCUGAAAACGCCCCUACGGCCCAAUACGGUCCAGGGGUUCGAAAGCUGGCCCAACACGGGUUCGACAGCUGCCUCAGGACAUCCCCGAGCAAGGGGUGAGAAGGGGCGGGCCCGCUAGCGGCCAACACCCAGGCGAGCGAACGCCAAGGGCGCCCCAACCUCACGUUCGAGUCCCGCUCAGUGUAAAGUUCAUGGUUUUUCCACGGGGAAAGGCAACGAGCCCUCAGAUCCGGUCGAACGGAUCCGAGAACUAUAUGAACUGACCGACGGGAAAUCGGAGUACGCCACCAGCUUGGCCCGAGCCGGACCCCCCCGAACGGGGACCGGGACUCCACUCGAACUUACCCGUUUGCAGCUCAAACGAGCACCAUGGUUCGUCCAACGCGGAUAACGUGGCCCGGCUCAACCCCUCCGUCCUAGCGAACGCACGCUUGAGGGGCAACGAUCAAAAAGUCGACCUGGCCUCCCGAUCGGUUUCCUGCAACGAGCAGGAGCUCGGGGGCAAGCCUCGCAAACAACUGCCACACGUGUGGUCACAAACCUGGCAGGUUCUCUCGAGCAAGGCGGAGAUAAAAACAAGCGCGCCAUAAUACAGAAACCGGCGGCAAACAGCGAAAGGAGCCUCCGGAGGAGCACUCCUGCUCCACCACAGGCUCGGGGGCUACUGUUGGGGGGAAAUAUUAAUGACCCCCUAACACACUGCUUAAAAAAGCAAACAUGAAGGCCCAGGCCCACCAAAGCAUGAUCAACUCUCCGCCUCGCCCGACCCAGGCGCCAGGAUCGGGAGCGCCCGACCCUCCUCCGCAAGGUUUCCGCCUCGCCCGACCGCGACCCCAGGGUCGGGGGCGUCCGACCCUGCGCCACGAAAGUUCCGCCUUGUCCGACCCCGAGCGAAGGAGUCGGGCGCACUGGGGCCCACAAGUCCGGGAGCCCCCUCGGAUACGGUCCGCACAGACGAGACAAAUCCUGUGGGUCCCCCCGUCGGCCUCACCAUAAAUGCACCACAGAGUUGGCAGAGGGCAGGGCGACCGAGCCCCUCACGCAACCUGGCGCAAGUACCCGUGCAUGACCGUCCUGUGCAGGCUACAGUGCCGGCGGCCGGUUCUCAUUCGCCACGGAGCACUCAUGACCUGCGCCGACCGGAGCAAAAAAGAGAGAGGCCUGUCCUCGGGUCCCGCACACCCUCGAGUCUCGCGCACCCAACAGUGCGGACGUAACGCCCUCCCUCUCAGCGGCCAUCGCCGGAGCAGCGGUAUCCACCGUCCUCCCUAACGGACGCUGGGGUAACGACGAAGCCGCCUCAUCAUGAGCUAACCUGGUACCUACGAACAUCGAAGUAGCUACCUACGGGGAGCAGCAACACUUGGCAUCCGGCGACCUCCCCCUCCGGCAUGCAUGACGGCACGCGUUUAGGGUCGGCAGGACAUCGGGCGCCUAGGAUCUCUCCCCUCCUUCCUGCCUUACUUUUUACCAUCUUACUCUUUACUCUUGACAGACCUUUUUUACCCGAUCCCAAUUGUAACUCCAGCCGUCCCCUUGCGAUAUAAAAGGAGGAACCUAGAGCCGGAGAGGGGGGAUCGAAAAGGAUAGAAUCAACCAUCUUCUUCUCCCGCACAUCAUAGUACACAACCACUGUUCCUAAGAGCACGAAAACCGAAGAGACUUGGGACCAGUCCCUCUCUCGCCCAUCUGUAACCCCCUACUACAGAACCUCCGCACGGGCAACACGAGCAUCCUCGAUACUGGACGUAGGGCUUCCUUUACCCGAACCAGUCUAAUCCGUGUCUCCCGUGCAACCAUCUGAGGCUCACGCGCAUAAAAGAAAUUUACUAGUCUAAGUCUUGAUCCGCUGAUCUUGACAACGACAGGCAGGGGGGAGUCCGAGUAGUUCUUCACGUAGAACCACUGGUUGUGCCACCCCUUGUGGGACGCCGAAGUCUUCAUCGCCAUAUACUCCUUGGAGCGAGUAUGGCGGAGGUGGAUCCCGGCGCACCCAAUCGGCACCGGAGGCGACCGCUGCUGGCUCCCCCUCUUCUCCGUCUUCUGGUACAAACUCACUGUGAAGAAAUACUUCCACAGCGACAAGUUGGGCUCGAUGCCCAGGAACCCCUCGCACAGUGCGACGAACGCCGCAAUGUGCUGGAUCCCGUUGGGGUUGAGGUGCUGGAGCUCGAGCCUGUAGUAGUGGAGGAGCCCCCGGAAGAAGCGGCUCGGUGGAGACGCGAACCCCCGCUCAUGAAAGUGAGCGAAGGAGACGAUGUAGCCGGAGGGAGGCUCCGGCACUUGCUCCGGCCCCGGCAGCAACCACUCGGCCGCCUCCGUCCUCUCGCAGAGGAGGCCUUUCCGCACCAGGCCCUCGGCGCGCGAGGAGUUGAAGUGAGAGAUCCCCCAAGAACCCAUCGCCAGAGGAGGAGGAAGCUCGACGGAGGUGAAAGGCAAGUGCGCAGCUGGGGAGGAGGAAGGCGAAGCGGACGCAGGUGAGCUAAGUGCGAGGCUGGAGGACGAAAGGGCUCGAAUGCAGAAGGCGGGCGGAACCAGCGAGGCGGGCUUCCAUUUUUAUAGGAAAGGCGCGGGGAAGCCAAAUCGACGCCCCUGCCGCCAUAAAUGCGGCGCCAGGUACGCCCCUGCCACGCCCACUUCCUUUUCGGAAACCGCGCGCACAACCGGCUGCGAAAACAUCCUAUCCUCCUCGAUCCGCGGGACGACGCUCCCCAUAACUGUGUCUCCCGGAAGGCACACCCACGACGUCCCCCACGUUCGGCCCAAACGCAACGACCGCUCUGUUCCGGCCCAAGGCCCACCGAAGGGUAAGAAGGGAUACGGGGCUGAAAACGCCCCUACGGCCCAUUACGGUCCAGAGGUUCGAAGGCUAGCCCGCCACGGGUUCGACAGCUGCCUCAGGACGUCCCCCGAGCGAGGGGUGAGAAGGGACGGGUCCGCUAGCGGCCAACACCCAGGCGAGCGAAAGCCAAGGGCGUCCCGACCUCACGUUCGAGUCCUGACCGGCAUGAAGUUCAUGUUUUUUCCACAAGGAAAGCCAACGAGCCCCCGGAUCCGGCCGAACGGACCCGGGAACUAUAUGAACUGGCCGGCGGGAGAUUGGAGUACGCCACCAGCUUGGCCCGAGCCGGACCCCCUCGAACGGGGACCGGGACUCCACUCGAACCUACCCGUUCGCAGCUCAACGAGCACCACGGUUCGUCCAACGAGGAUAGCGUGGCACGGCUCAACCCCUUCGUCCUAGCGAACGGACGCUUGAGGGGCAACGAACAAAAGUCGACCUGGCCUCCCGACCGGUCUCCUGCAACGCGCGGGGGCUCGGGGGCUAGCAUCGCAACCAACAACCACGCGUGUGGUCGCGAUUCGCAGGCUCCCCGGCCAAGUUGGGCUAAAACAAACGCACCCUACCCCCAACAAGAUCUCCGGCGAAACGGCGAAAGAAGCCUCCGGAGGAGCACUUUUGCUCCACCACAGGCUCGGGGGAUAUUGUUGGGGGGAAAUAUUAACGAUCUCCUAAAUACCUCUUAAAGGAACAAACAUGAAGGCCCAGGCCCAUCCAGGAUAACAAACUCACCGUCAAGCCCAACAUGAGCAAAACUCCGCCUCGCCCGACCACGGUCUCAGGGUCAGGAACGUCCGACCUCCCGCCACGAGGCUCCGCCUCGCCCGACCGUGGUCCCGGGGUCAGGAGCGUCCGACCUCCUGCCGCAAGGCUCCGCCUCGUCCGACCGCGACCCCAGGGUCAGGGGCGCCCGACCCCUCGCCACAAGGUUCCGCCUCGUCCCACCCCGAGCACAGGGGUCGGACUCACUGGGGGCCCCAGGACGGAUAUCCCCCUCAGGUGCGGACCGGGUGGUCAAGGUAACGAUCCCGUGGGUCCCCCUUGUCGACCUCGUCAUAAAUGUGCCGCAGGCUUGACAGGGAGAAGGAUGAUCACGCUCCUCACGCAACCCGCUGCAAGUACCCAUGCACGACCACACUGUACGAGCUACAGUGCUGGUGGCUUCCUUCCAUUCGCCGCCGGGUACUCAUGGCCUGCGCCGACCGGAGCAGAGGGAAGACUCGCCCGUCCUCGGGCCCCGCGUGCCCUCGGGCCCCCCGCGCUCGGGAGCAAGGAUGUGACGCCCUCUCUCCACAAGCCAUCAUCAGGACGGUGGCAUCCGCCGUCCCUCCCAACGGACACCGUAGUGACGACAAAACACCUUCAUCAUAACCCGACGCCUACGGACACCGAAGAGGCUAUCUGUAGGGCGCGACGACAGUUGGCACACGGCCGCCCUCCUCCUCCAGCAUGCACGUCGGCGCUCGUCAGGGGCUGGCGAAGGCGCCGGACGCCUAGGAACUUGGUUUCUCCCUUCUUGUUUACGUAAAGGUAAGUAAUUCAAUUUACAAGAUAAUUUUCACUCUAAGAAGACUAGUUGUAAGGUUAGGCUAUAAUAGCUUAACAAAAGUCGUACUUUCCAUGCAACAAUUACAGCUCAUUCAUUUAACGAAACAACCAAACACACCUUGGAAAAACUGCUCAAACCGAAGAUUGUGAAAGAGGUCUAUCAUUUUUUCUUCCUCUCACGAAACUUAAUAGCGCCUCUAAUUAUCUGCGGUAACCACCUUAGAAACUUAUACUGCAGCAGCACAUAGAUUGCCUUAGGUUGGUAAUAGGGUACGACAAUUGAACUUUGGUUCCCUGACCCUCCAAGCAAUCGUGUCAUGGCGGUUAGGGACAGAUUGCUCGGAAUCUUUCCCUGGUGGCUCAGGCAGUGGGCAAUGAUGUGUCGUGGAAAGAUGAUGACAUGUCUCUCAUUUUUGACAUUGUAUCUUCCUUUGAUAUGACUGAACAAGUGGUCCAACCAUGGAUCAUUGGUUGAUAUGAUGGUUCAGUCAUCUUAAGGAACAACUGGUGUUCUCCAGGACAAGUUUCUUUAGUAUAUGUGCAGCAUCAAAUGUAUGUGUCGAUAACAACCUGCUGUCGUCCUCCAUGAACAACUCGUGGAAUUUCAUAAAUGCUGGUCCAUAGCAAGACACAGGAAGAAGUGCUGGGUAUAAGUCAAUCCACAAGGUAGUUAGCUUGGGGUUGGCGAUCGUUCUCAGAUCAGCAAUCAUCAUCAUGAAAUCGUUUGCCAAGAAGCUAAUGAUGUCAUCACCAUGCAGCAGCUUGACCAGCGUAAAAAUAACAUCACUCGAAGCAAAAAAAAAAGCAUCAAUCUGAUUGUCGUCUGUCAGAUCAUACAUAAUAAGCGCGUUCUGAAACUUAAAUGUCCUAAUUUAUGAGACGAUUAAGUUUUCCAGCGAAAGCUGCUCCUUACCGAGUGUCCACCCCUCCCUGUGUGCUUGCACCACCACAUCCUUUAGGCUUUUCAUCGAGAACUUGCCACCAUCAGUUAGAAGCCACGGCCACUUGGGGUUCGGUGUUAAUAGCAUAUGGAAACCUUCGUUGGGAUUAGUCACCUCAAUCAGCAUAGGAUUUUUCUUGAAAUGGUCAACUGGGUUUUUGUACAGUAGGUGGUAACAAUCUUUGGCAGUUGAUAGUACAACCUUCCUGUAAUAGAGGUGCAAUGGUUAUCAACAUUAUAUUGUUGUGCCUACUUAUUUAUGUAAAGGUUAGUAAUUCAAUUUGCAAGAUAAUUUCCAAUCUAGGAGGCCCAGUCUGCAAGUUUAGGUCAAGUAGCUUAACGAAAGUCGUACUUUCCAUGCAACAAUUACAACUUAUUCACUUAACGAAACAACCAAACAUACCUUGGAAAAACUACUCAAACCGAAGAUUGUGAAAGAGGUCCAUCAUUUUCUUCCUCUCACGGAAUUCAAUACCGCCUCUAAUUAUCUGCGGUAACCACCUCGAGAACCUAUACUGCAGCAGCACAUAGAUUGUCUCAGGUUGGUAAUAGGGUACGACAAUUGAACUUUAGUUCCCUGACCCUCCAAGCAAUCGCGCCAUGGCGAUUGAGGACAGAUUGCUUGGAAUCUUUCCCCGGUGGUCAGGCAGGGGGUGAUGAUUUGUCGUGGAAAUAUGAUGACUUCUCUCUUAUUUUUGAUAUUGUAUUUUCCUUUGAUGUAACUGAAUCAGUGGUCCAACCAUGGAUCAUUGUUUGAUAUGAUGGUCCAGUCAUCAUCAGGAACAGUUGGUAUUCUGUAGGACAAGUUCUUCAGUAUAGGUGUAACAUCAGAUGUAUGUGUCGACAACAACCCGCUGUCGUCCUGCAUGAACUAUUCGUGUAAUUUCAUAAAUACUGAUCCAUCGCAAGACACAUGAAGAAGUGUUGGGUAUAAGUUAAUCCACAAGGUAGCUAGCUUGGGGUUGGCGAUCGUUCUGAGAUCAGCAAUCAUCAUGAAAUCGUCCGGUAUGAAGCUAAUGAUUUUCAGGUGUGUCUGCUUGUUUCGUUAAGUGAAUGAGUUGUAAUUGUUGAAUGAAAAGUACGACUUUCGUUAAGCUACUAGGGCCUAACCUUGCAGACUGGCCUCCUAGAUUGGAAAUUGUCUUGCAAAUCGAAUUGCUUACCUUUGCAUAGAUAAGCAGAAACACCAAUAUAAUGUUGACAAUCAUUGUAACUCUAUUUCACGAAGGUUGUACUAUCAACUGCCGAAGAUUGUUAACACCUACUGUACAAGAACCUAUUUGACCAUUUCAAAGAAAAUCUUAUGCUGAUUGAGGUGAUUGAUUCCAACAAAGGUCUCCACAUGCUAUUAACAUCGAACCCCAAGUGGUCGUGGCUUCUAACUGAUGGUGGGAAAUUCUCGAUGAAAAGCCUAAAGGAUUUGGUGGUGCAAGCACACAGGGAGGGUUGGACACUCGGUAAGAAGCAGUUUUCGCUGGAAAACUUAAUCGUCUCAUCAAUCCGGACGUUGAAGUUCAAGAACGCGCUUAUUAAGUAUAAUCUGCCAGACGACAAUCAGAUUGAAGACUUUUUUAGCUUCGAGCGAUGUUAUUUUUACGUUGGUCAAGCUGCUGCAUAGUGAUGACAUCAUUAGCUUCUUGGCGAACGAUUUCAUGAUGAUGAUUGUUGAUCUAAAAAUGAUCGCCAACCCCAAGCUAGCUAACUUAUGGAUUGACUUCUACCCAAACACCUUUUUCUGUUUCUUGCUAUGGACCUCCAUAUAUGAAAAUCCACAGGGUGUUCAUGGAGGACGACAGCGGGUUGUUGUCCACACAUACAUCUGAUGUUGCAGUUAUAUUGAAGAACUUGUCCUACAGAAUACCAUGUGUUUCUUAAGAUGACUCGAUCAUCAUAGCAAAGAAUGAUAUAUGGUUGGACCACUGGUUCAGUCACAUCAAAGAAAGAUACAAUUUGAAAAAUGAGAGACAAGUUAUUAUCUUUCCACGACACGUCAUCGCCCACUGCCUGAACCACCGGGGAAAGAUUCCGAGCAAUCUAUCCCCAACUGCCAUGGCGUGAUUGCUUGGAGGGUCACGGAACCAAAGUUUAAUUAUCGUACCCUAUUACCAACCUGAGGCAAUCUAUGUGCUGCUGCAAUACAGGUUCCCGAGGUGGUUACCGCUGAUAAUUAGAUGCGCUAUUGAGUUCCGUGAGAGGAAGAGAAUGGUGGAACUCUUCCACAAUCUUCGGUUUGAGCAGUUUUUCUAAGGUGUGUUUGGUUGUUUCGUUAAGUGAAUGAGUUGUAAUUGUUGCAUGGAAAGUACGACUUUUGUUAAGCUACUAGUGCCUAACCUUGCAGUCUGGGCCUCUUAGAUUGGAAAUUGUUUUGCAAAAUAAAUUGCUUAUCUUUACAUAAAUAAGCAGGCACAACACUAUAAAUUUGAUAACUAAUGCUCCUCAAUUACAAGAAGGUUGUACUGUCAACUGCCAAAGAUUGUUACCACCUACUGUACAAGAACCCAGUUGACCAUUUCAAGGAAAAUCCUAUGCUGAUUGAGGUGACUGAUCCCAACGAAGGUUUCCACAUGCUCUUAACACCGAACCCCAAGUAGCCCUGGCUUCUAACUGAAGGUGGGAAGUUCUCGAUGAAAAGCCUAAAGGAUUUGGUGGUGCAAGCACAAAGGGAGGGGUGGACACUCGGUAAGGAGCAGUUUUCGCUGGAAAACUUAAUCGUCUCAUCAAUCGGAACGUUUAAGUUCAAGAACACGCUUAUGAAGUAUGAUCUGAUAGACGGCAAUCAGAUUGAAGACUUUUUAGCUUUGAGUGAUGUUACUCUUACGCUGGUCAAGCUGUUGUAUGGUGAUGACAUCAUUAGCUUCUUGCCGGAUGAUUUCAUGAUGAUGAUUGCUGAUACGGCUACAGUGGCCGGUCGUCGCCACCAACUUGCGCGACUAGAGUGGUCAGCCGCCAUGUGCGACUCGCGUGCUCGGCUACAGUGAUCGACCGCCGAAUCGUCGAUGGGACCCAACGGCAACCACCCUUUUUGUGGGAGAAGCUCUGAAACGGGCAUGCCACUCGAGUGCGUUCGUCGCGGGAGAUCUGGGAGAAAGAUUUUGUGGGUCCACCGGUCAGUCUCGGUUGGUCCACUGCUCAAAUUGAAAAAAGGCACUGUGGGAAGACUUAGAAGGAUGCGGCAGUAUGGGUUGGGGUCGACAUGGAUCGGAGUUGGAAACCAGCGGAAGGGGUCGGAUACUCAGGGGUCGGGACCGGGACCGGAGGUUGAGCUCUUAAACUCGGGAAAGCUGAGACAGGGGAUUAGGGACUCGGAUUAAGAUUUACUUGAAAGAUUUGGGGUUGGUCGUUACAGCGCCCCUCGUCGACCCCUGGGGCGCGGCCUCCAAGCCCCGCAGGGUCGCGCCCUGGGCGGGCGGUCCGCUCAACCUGUCCCCCGCGGCCGGUUGACGGGACUGGUCCCGGAUGAUGAGCGUGCCAGGCACGAAGGCCGGGACGUAACCCUCCUCCUCCUCGGUCUCGUCUUCAUCAUCCUCAUCGUCAUCAUCAUCAUCGUCGUCCGUCACGACCGCGCCGCUCCGCCGCCUUCGGAACUCCUUCGUGGCCCUCUUCCUCCUCCUCGCCGUCUCCUUGUCUUUCCUCCUCUUCUACUUUUCAGUGAGGAGGCAGUUCUGCUGCGGCCGCGCUGCGUCCUCCGGCACUGGCGGGUGGGAGGCUACGGCCUGGUUCAACUCGCCCUGCAGACUCGAAAAUAUCACGUCAGGAAUGGCGAACUAGAAAACACAUGAAAGAAGGAUGAGAAGACAAAGAUUUCUCACCAGCGGGAUGUGGCCUUCGUCCAGGCGCAUCGGAGGGUGAUCCGGCACCGGGUAAACGACGUCCCUGUCGCCCAGCGCCUCACGGACACGCUGCUCGAUCUAGGCGUCGGCGAGCACACCCGUCGCAAGGACGGCGCCGUCAGUCGCCGCGCCGGGAACCAUAUCGCCAAGCGCAGGGGCUUGGAGCAUCAGUGGUGGCACCCUCCGAGCGUGGUACGCCCCGAUAACUCCGGCCCUGGUUAGGCCCUCCUUCAAGCGAUUGAUGGCCUAGAGAAAACCAGUGAUGUUCCUCUUCUCCUUCUCGACCGAACCAUACGUCCAGUUGUCCGGCGCCUCCGCGAUGACGCGGCCGGUGAACUCCAGCAAGGGGGACUCGGAGCAGUUCUUCAUGUAGAACCACUGCUGGUGCCACCCCUUGUGAGACGGCGCGGUCUUCAUCACCAUGUACUUCUUGGCGCGGUUCUGGCGGAGGUGGAUGCCAGCGCACCCCAUCGGCACCGGACCUGUCCGCACCUGGAUCCCCUUCUUCUCGAUCUUGUGAUGCAGGGUGACCGCGAAGAAGUAUUUCCAAAGCGAGAACUUGGGCUCAAUCCCCAGGUACCCCUCGAACAGAGCGACGAACGCCGCGAUGUGCUGGAUCAAGUUGGGGUUGAGGUGCUACAGCUCGAGCCCGUAGUAAUGCAGCAGCCCGCGGAAGAAGUGGCUCGGCGGAUUCGCAAACCCCCUCUCGUGGAAGUGCGCGAACGAGACGAUGUAUCCGUCAUCCGGCUUCGGCGCAUCCUCCCUCCCGGGGUACCACCACUCAUUCUUGGCGGUCCUCUCGCAAAGGAGGCCCUUCUUCACGAGGCUGGUGGCGCGAGCGGUGUUGAAGUUCGAGCGCAGCCAGGACUCCAUCGCUAAGGGAAGGGAAGGCUCAACGGUGGGGGCGGAGAAGGCUAAUGCGCUGGAACGAAGGGAGGUGAAAAGUGCGCAAGAAAGCAAGAAAGGCUGGAGACGAGUGCAGACUCCCUCGUCUUAUAGGGGGCGCGUGGGAAACGAAAGGGCAAUCCGAUCGCAGUUAUUGCGACGCCAGGUACGCCCAUCACUCCGCCUUUUUCGAACCGUGCACACGAUCUCUUCCAACCGCAGGGAACGUCUCCCCUCCUCGUUUCGCGGGCCUGGUGUUUUCCGUGGCUUCACCUCCCAAAGGAUGCACGCGCAUGACUUCCUCCACGUACGGCCCGGGGCCCACCAACAGGUAAAAAAAGGGAUACGGAGCUGAAAAUGCUCCUACGGCCCAUUACGGUCCAGGGGUUCGAAGGCUGGCCCACCGCAGGGUUCGACAGUCACCCCAGGACACUCCCGAGCAAGGGGUGAGAAGGGACGGGUCCGCUAGCGGGCACCACCCAGGCGAGCGAAAGCCAAGGGCGUCCCGACCUCACGUUCGAGGCCGGACUGGCGUUUAAGUUUAUGGUUUUUCCCCGAAGAAAGGCAACGAGCCCCUGGAUCCGAUCGAACGGAUCCGGGAACUAUAUGAAUUGGCCAUCCGGAAUCUGGAGUACGCCACUAGCUUGGCCCAAGCCGAACCCCCCCGAACGGGGACCGGGACUCCACUCCAACUGAUCCGUUAGCAGCUCACCGAGCAUCAUGGUUCGUCCGACGAGGGUAACAUGGCACGGCUCACCCCCUCCGUCCCAACGAACGGAUGCUUGAGGGGUACCGAUUAAAAGACAAUCCAACCUCUCGAUCGGUCCCCUACAACGCGCGGGGGCUCGGGGGCUGGAAUCGCAACCAACGACCAUGCGUGUGGUCAAUAUUUGGAGUCUUGGAGCAGGAGUGGUCGUCGGAACGAUAGGGAAUCUUCCCGAACCGAGCCAUCCUCAGAACACCCCGCCUACCCAAAACUCCCCGGCCAGGCCAAACGAGCGAAGCUUUUCCUCCCUGAUCAAAUGCAGGUUGCAGGUCAAACAAAGAUCCUUGAUGAACGACGAACAUAGCCUCUGGAGGAGCAUUCUUGCUCCACCAAAGGCUCGGGGGCUACUGUUGGGGGGAAAUAUUAACGACUUCCUUAUAUUCCUUAAACGACAGUUAUAAGGGCCCGGGCCCACCUCCAGCAACAGUGACCUCCGCCGACUUGGCCCGACCCCAGGGUCACAGGGUCGGACGCGCUUGACCCCCCGAGGCCGCUCCUCAUCCCAGCCGAGAGAGUUCUGCCUCGCCCGACCCCUCGCAGCAGGUCUCCGCCUCGCCCGACCCCAGGCGCAAGGGGUCGGACGCGCCCGACCCCUCGUCGCAAGGCUCCGUCUCGCCCGACCCCGGGCGCUAAGGGUCGGACGUGUCCGGACCCACAGGAUAGGGCUUCGCCUCGCCCAAAGGACGUGCGCGGACCAACAGACGAGGGCGCAGAUCUUGUGGGCCCCCACCGAUCUCGCCAUCAAUGCAACCGAUGGGACGCGCAUGCUCGGAACACGGCUCUGACACACGGAGAGGCGCCCGCGUUCCUCUACGUGACCUGCUGGAGUUUUCGGGCGGCGCACUGCUGCCACGACUGCACAGGGCUACAGCUGCACCAUCCUAACCCUCCCCUGUGACAUUCGUCAUAGGGCACUCAUCGCCCAUGCUACCUAACUAAGGAGGGUGCGCCGCCCGGUUUCCCGCUCGGCCCGGCGGCAGGGGCGUGUCAGCCGCGCCCCCCGGUCAGCACGCAUGGCUACAAUGGUCGCCCGUCAUCCGCGACGUGCACGGCUACGGUGGCCAGUCAUCAUCAUCAACUCGCACGGCUACAGUGGUCGGUCGCCACGCACGUCUCGCGUGCUCGGCUACAGUGGCCGACCGCUGGGUCAUCGAUGGGACCCAACGGCAACCACCCCUCCUCGGUGGCCACGCUGACAGGACGCAGAAAUCAGAAGGGAAGGCGGCCACCCCGGUGGCUCGACCCCUCUCCCUGUGCUUUACCUUCCUUGCUUACCUUUUUUUACUUCCCUUUACUCCUGGCUCAAUGGUAACUCAUGUGUCCUCUUUACGCUAUAAAAGGAGGACCAGGGGGGCCGAGAAAGGGACGGCUCUCGAAUGGAACAAUCCAACUCCGACCCGCAAUCCAACCUCACGAGCAUCAGUGCACACCCACAGAGACUUGGGACCAGCUUCCCUCUCUCGCCCGUUUGUAACCCCUACUACAAACUUGGCACGAGUAACACGAGCAGCCUCCCACUCUGGACGUAGGGCUAUUCGUGUCCGAACCAGUAUAAAUCUCGUGUCCUCUCGUGCAACCAUCUGAGCCUUACACGCAUAGAAAACAAAUUUACUUGCCGGAGUCUUGACCCAUGAUUCUUGACACCGACACAAAGGUAAAUAAAAUCUAGGCGAACCUUAAUUGGGACCCAUCAAGAUUAAAAGUAUUAUGUGCAUAACAAUGUUGUAUUGAACAUGAAAGUAAAGGUGAAUAGGACUUAAAGAAAUGAUCAAGGACACGACUUGCCUUCUUGACCUUGCUCUUGCUAUUCAUACUCCUCGAAGGCUUGAUCUUCAAAUCCCUCGAACUGCUGAACGUCUACACGCGUCACAUGAGCACGUACAAGCAAACAAAUGCGUAACAUGAAAAACAGUACACCAAUCAUAAUAAACAGAGAAAACAAGAUUGAAAAACUAAUCUACGCAUUAAAACGAACACGUGGAUAUAAAGAACGCGAAAAACGAAGUUAAGAUGCAAAAGAUAUGAUUAAAACAAGUUUUAGGGGCUUUUCAGCGAGAAAAACAACUUCCAGGGCUAAACUGUGAGAAACCGAGGACUUAUACGUAAUUACGCAUACAAACCGAAGGUUUAAUGCGCAAAAACGCCACUCCGGAUGGCGGGUUAAUUUUAUAAAAGAGCAGGGUUUAAAACAGAAGAAAACAGGACCGGCUCGUAAAUAUUUUUGAACUAGCUUGGACUGCAGGUUGAUUUGCGGAGAACGCGAGGGUUAAAAUGCAAAAAUGAUGCGGCGUGGCGCGGUUGACCGGUGCGCUGCUAGUUGACUCUCGCCCAGGCCGUCGAUUCGAGAUCGAGCGGCUGGCGAGGCGCUGCGCUGACGCCAGCAGCGGUGAGCGGCGGUGAGAGGCGGCAGUGCGGCGGUGCUCCGCCGGAGCUGCUCGAAAAUGAGCUCCCGGCCAUGGUUUCACGUGCGGAUUGCACAGGAAGCACGAGGGGCGCACAGCGAACUCGUUUGGAGCUUCGGCGAGGGACUAGGCGCGGUCGAGACUCACCAUGAGGCUGAGCUUGCAGCAGCGGCGCUGGAACUCGGAGGCGGCUAGGGUUUGGUGGUGCGGCAAAAAGGACCAGGGGUGGCGGCCUUAUAUAGGGGCGGAGGCGGCACCGGCUCAGCCCGAGCUCGACGCGGAUGCAGGGACUCGGCGUGCGGAGGAAGGAAGGCGCGGCGCAAGAAAAAGGAAGGGGGCGGCGCGCUGGGAGGAAAGGAGCGGGAGGAGGAAGAAAGGAAGGUGAGGGACGACGCUGCCCACCUAUCGGCGAGAGGAAGCGGUUGCUGCGCCGCGAGCAGGCUGGCGCGGAAACGGGCCAGGGAAAGGGAAUGUGGGCCUGCGGAGCUGGUGGUGGGUUGGAGGAGAAGAAAGGGAGUAGUGUUGGAGGAAAAGGAGAAGGAAGGGGAUGCAACCAAAAAGAGAAGGAAAAAAAAAGCCUUUUUAUGUAAAAAGGGAUUUGAGUUUAGAAUUUGAAUUUGAUCAAACACAGUCAAUCAAAAUAAAUGCACCAGCAUGCAUGCACAAUAAACUCCUAUGGUGAAUCAUUUUAAUUUGAGAAAAUAAAAUUAAAUGCCUAGAAAUUUAAAUAACAUCCUAAUUGAGCAAUUUUUAGUGGAUUUGAAUUCUUUUAAUUUUGGGUGUUACAAUUUGGUGGUGCAAGCAUACAGGGAGGGAUGGACACUCGAUAAGGAGCAGCUCCCGCUGGAAAACUUAAUCGUCUCAUCAAUCGGGAUGUUUAAGUUUAAGAACGCGCUUAUUAAGUAUGAUCUGAUUGAGGACUUUUUAGCUUUGUAGCUGGCAGUGGCUUCUCAAACGCUGGCGGUUUGCUUGCAUGUAACUUGUUCCGAAAUUAGAAUUCAGAAGUACCCGGGAAUGGCAGUUGAGUUGGACAGUAUCAUAGGCAGAAAUAAUGUGUGUAUGCUUGACCAUGCUCGUCGGAAUGGAAGCCUCUGAACAGGCUAGUAGGUAAGAUGAGAAUGAAUCGUUCAAAUCCUCUCCGUUCCCCUCGGCUGUCCAGCGGCCAACUUGUUCUUAUGGUUCUCUGAAUUUUGAUGCUGCUGUGAUCUGGUACAUGCUGUCAAGCUGAUUGAUCGUUAGACAUGUGUGUGCUUUAUUCUAUUUGAUAAACACAUCUAUUCCUUUCACUGUCUGCUAACUUGCAUCAAUUAGUAUGGGUGUAUGCUUGACUAUGCUUCCAACAACGUUGGUAGUCUUAAGAUGUGAAGGUGGUCCAAUAUCUUUAGACUUUAGGUCCCAUCAGAAUUUGUGAAGCAUCAGUUUAAUCAUUUACAUACAGACAAGCUUGUGUCAGCGGAUGAGGAUCAGGUCUAACCUCUUCGGAUUGGGAGAGAUGAAGCAAUCUCCCAGGUCCCAGCAAACCACCUCUUCGGAUUGGGAGAGUUGAAGCAAUCUCCCAGCAAACCUAGGGGUUGGAUAUAAUCCCUGGACCGCUAUCAUUCUUCUGAAGUAACCAAUCCUGUCACAUUUUCUACAUCACAAUAAAUUAUCAAAGUCCUUGUCUGUUCUAAAGUUUACAGAUGGAAACCCGUAUCGGUGAAACAUGUUGUGUUAGUGAUAUUUGGGAUUGCAAUGACUGCGGGAGUUUACAUUUUCAACAAGUUAUAUUUGCAAGACUUGGUAAAGAUUUCUUCACAAGAAAGCUACUAACCUACAAGGCAUCUCACGUUUGCCUUUCUGUCUUUAGCAAUUGGAUGGAACUGUUAGAAAUGGACCAUCCACUCUACUGACUAAUGGAUUGGAUGAUACUGUGCAAUCCCACGUUUUGGUGGUAGUUUCCUUACGAUGAACAGCACCAAAGACGAUGGCACAAUCUCAACAAGCUGCAUAAGACACAGUGAACACCAGCAAUUAUAUCAGCAAGUGCGACGAUUGAUCAUAAGGAGAUAUAAAUGAUAUCACAAAGUUAGCCUAUAUGAUUGAAAUGAACUGACAUUUAUAUAUGUAUCAAAAAACCAUUUCCUAUCAUUAUAUAUAAAGAAAAUCUCCUAGAAGACAUCAAUAUCUACAUCAAACAAAUGAAAGUGAAAUAUAAACUUGCGAAGAAACACCAAGUGAUCUGAAAUAGCAUGGUUAAAAUUGCAGGUACUAACAACAUACCAAGUAGUAAAAGAAGUUCAGGAUUGGAUGAUUCAGAACAUCGAGAUCAGCUUCUUUAUUAAAAGCACUAAAGCACAUCUGUAAGAUAGAUAUAAUAAAUCAAAAUGUUUAUUGGAAUUAUUUCAGAACUUAAGUUAGUGCCGUAUAGGAUUUACCAUUAUGCAUCUGAUCAAGAAGCAACCAAAGCAUAUGGUGGGCACAUAGCCAACCUGUGUAAAAGGGGAUAAUGUUAAACAUACAAAGUCAUCUAGAAAUUUCUACAAUGCAAGAAUCCUGAUAGUGAAGUACCCCAUUCAACUUUUUCCGCCGACCUUCCGACUUGACAGGGAAACGCAGCAACAUCAGGAAUAGCUUACACAAGGAUAUACACAUUAUUAUAAGUAGCUCCUCUGUUAUCAAAAGGAUCAGAACAACAUGACAGAAAUCUACAGGCCCAUGCUUGUUUGCAUGUCCUCAUUUUACAUAAGCACAAGGACGCAUUUAGUGUAUGGAAAUAUUUAUAACUUAGCAAACACCCUCAUAUUGCAGAAUGCAGAUAUCAAGGGGCAACACUGUACAGAAAAUUUUUUGCUCUCAUAUUAGUGGCAUGCUAAGCUUCUUGUUUUCUGCAGUAGCAGUGUAACCAUAAUAAUGCUCAAGGCCAAACAAAAAAAUUAUCUAGUUUAAACAAUGGAAAUAGUAUAGUUUUCAUCUGAUAAAGAACCAUGAUAUAUCAAGGAAUAAGUUAUUACCUUCCUCCAUAGAGAAGGAAACGAAAAGCAGCAAAUAAGGAUGUAGCUGAAAACUAGCUCUGUGUUAGUAGCAGAGGUAAAUAAGUACACAGUAUAAAAUCACAGACUGCGAUAUAAUUUGCUUUAAAUAACUUAAUGUCCAAUUUUAUGUCUCUUUCCUGUCAAAUAGUUGAUACAAGGAGCUAAGGUUAAAAAAUGUAGCUUCUGGAAUUUGCUAAUUGGGUAUUAUUUACAUGAAACUAAGAAUAUUUUCAUAACUAAUAUCAAAAAUUUGUUUUUGAACAUAGUGAUAAUGGGGGAGAAGUCAUCGCAUUAUCUUUUUUUUAAAAGCCUCGUUUAUGAGAGUACAAGUUGUAGUAUCUGAACUUACACAUAGACACACACCCCCACACACACCCAACACCACAAUCACACAUAUCGCAAGCUAAAUCCUACCCCUACACUCACACUCACAUGCCUGCCAUGAAGAGAUGGUCUCGGACAGCAAUUCCCAACACGUGUUGAGGUUGCAGCAAUCCAGGAAAAAUCCUAGAAAAUCCCCUCGAAAUCCGGUUCCAAAGGGAUUCGAACUUGGGACCUUCUACUGAGGUUUGGUGCUACUACGGCUUCUGGUGACCAAUUGGUCCCAGGCCUGUUCGCAUUAUCUCUGACUACUGCUGGAAAAAUUUGUCUAAAUGGUUAUUCUUCGUUUGCCUUAUAUCCCACAGGUUGCUAGAGGUAGACCGUAGGUGGUGACAACCCUAUUGAUCCUUUGUAAUCCUCCACGUCCGGAUACAGCGUAGAGUUGGGUUCAUAAAACCGCAGGCAAGAGUUGCCUGACAGAUCAGGGGUAAGCCGAUGCCCGAAGAAAGUUCUAUUUGAGAGAUCGACCCCUAACUCAACUAUAGUGCUAUCUUAGGAAUCCUCUCUACCUUUGCCUCCUACCUUGGUGUGUCCUUGGACCGACUAAACUAGAAGUUAGUACACACGUUCCUUGGGAUUCGAUACCCUUGGAAUACUUUGAGAUGAAAGCUACAAUGGUAUCCGUACGCUUGCGGAUAUAUUCGUCAUCGUUAAUAUACCCAACAGUAGGAGUUAACAAGAAUCAACUGAGGGCAAGGUUGUUCCCUUUCUCUCUACUUUGGAGAGCACUUCAAUGGUUUUGUUCUCUACCUACAGCAAAAGUUCAAAAUUAGGAUGAAUUGAUGAAGGCUUAUAUGACAGAACAUUAUUCUCUAGUCAAGACGUAGAAUCUGAGGAACAAGAUCAUCACUUAUCUUAGUAUAUGUGAUAGGACUGACUCGUCGCAACACAUCGAUGCGGCGGACGGUGCCUUGCUUUUGGGGUCAAGCAAGCGCCCGGCCGGUCUUCCACGGCUGAGGGCGACGCAUGUGAUGCUUGGGUAAUUGGCUUGCUUGGUGGAGACAGGUGUGGAAGCUGCGGUAGUGCACGGCCAUUUUCAGAUCCUUUUCCGGCGUCCUAGUUGCCACUCAGGCACUCAGCGCUUGGCACUCGACCCAGACAGAUAGCCUCUGGGAUUUUCGUGUCAAAUCGUGCUUGUGUGGCCCACCUCGAGUGAAAAAACUCGCUGUUUCACCUGUCCUUUCUUUCCUCCUUCGAACUUGCGUCGUAGUAGAGGGUGGCAGACUUGUAAUAGCUGUGUUGACGCCUCGGAUCCACACAACACUUGUUCAAAGUCAACGCGCCCGUCUUUUACAUACGACCAAGUUCGACCUUUUGGAACUAGUCAACCCUUGGAGGUUAGUUUCGACGUGUUGGACCAAACAGAACAGCCACACCAGACGAAGAACCAACCUUUUUUUUUCCAGUGCUACAGAGCGUAUCUGUGCAGCAGCUAGCCAAUAGAUUCUGCCACCUAUCCGUAGGAAAAUAAUGUUACAUUAUUAAGAGUUUUGAUAGCUGAACCACACACUGCUCCGUCCUCAAUCACCCAGGUUAAGAAUUAUAAACACACGUGACAUCGUCAUGUCUUAAUCCGACCUCAUGCCUGAUGCUCUCCUUUCAAAUGAAUCGAAUUUCGACGCGUGUCCUUUUCAAAACCAAAAAAAAAACUUUUGACGCAUGCCGUGCCAGGCAUUUCCUGCGUAAAACAGCAGCAUGCAGUCCACAGCUGAGUAACAGAGAAACACACCACGGCCAACUCAUCAAGCAAAACCAACAGAAACACAAACAUCUCAGACAACGGCUAGUAGCACACAUGACUAAUCACAUUCAGACACAAAACAAUGGACAUGGUGAAAAUCAAAUAUGAGAUGCUACCCGUCACAUUCAGAAUGCUCGGACUUGUGUAAAACUGAUGAUUUGUAUCAGAUAUAAACAGGAUUCCAUGAGCGAAGAGAAACACGUCACAGCACCGAUAAUUCAGGCGACUGGACGAAUAAAAUCAAAAUGUGAGACAAGAAAAUGAAUGAACUCUGGAGUUAUCAUAAGCAGUUUUCAGUUUUCGCUUCAGUCCCAUGGUCCAAUCCCCUAUAUAUAUUGUCUUAAUAAACGGCCACACUGAAAUGGCAGAGCAGGAGAAUUAGCAGGCAUUGUUCUCUUAUAUAAUAACCAAGGGGGAUGCAAUUUACAGUUCAUAUAUCAGCCAUAGGGUGGUUUAGCCAGAGCAGAGCUUUUCGAGAGCCAGGUUCUCAUCCCCAUCGACACUCUUAAGGGUACUUCUCA
rnacentral:lncRNA from 1 species